GUCGGUUCCGGAUGGCCGGUGGCUGGACUUCAAUCUAGCUCUAUCAAGUCUUCUUUCUUGCUCUCUGUUGUUUGUUGCUGAUGGAGAUGAAGGGAUCUAACAUGGAAAUGAAGGGGGGACGACGACUACGGCGGUGACCAAACCAGGAUACUUGAAAAGUUGGAACAAGCCCAAGGGAAAAAAAAGGGGUUUUGCAUCUUAUCAAGUUCAGAUCUAUGGUAGGGAGUAUGCGCAGUUGGGAUGACAGUGAAAGUUGUCUACUAGAGGAUAAGGGAGGUAAUGAAAUGGAAUCUUUGGCCGGAAAAUUAAGGGAUUUUGUUGUUUGGGAGUAAGAGGGGGACAACUUGUUCGGUGAAAACUAAAGGGGAUCAUAAAUUGGUGCGAAAAUUAUUCUCUUGAAGGGUUCUGUGGCUAUAACAAGUGGAUCAGAGUAUGGUGCUUUUGUGGGGUUGAGAUUUAAGCUCAAAGUAAUAGCUUACUCGCCGAAAAUCUUUACGGUGGCGGCGAAAUUGGUUUUUACUUCGGGUGUAGCUGAAGCAGAAGAUGUGGCAACAUCUUAUUGGGUGUCAGAACUUUGGCAGAAGGGGUUGCUUUAUUUUGAAUUACUGGGUGGAGAUGCAGACACAUGGAUUUGGGAAUUUUCUUUUGACUGGUCAAAAGGAAAAACAAUUGAUUAGUAGAAACCUAAUGGGCUGGGUUUCACUAUUGGGGUAGGGAUUUAGUGUGUAGCACACUUUGGCCUAGUUUUAUGGGUUGGAUUAGAUGGGAUCAUUGGGAAAUAUUAUGUGAUCUUGGUGUAAUGGGAUGGGUUUGUGUGACCAUAUGAGUUGGAACUUGUAACUUCAUUUGGAUUAAUAAAAUUUUAACUUAUCAAAAAAAAAAAAAAAAAAAAACCGUUCAUUUUUACCAUUGAAUUUAAUAUUCUAUUUAAUAGGUCUAAAUAUAUUCAAAUGAGUUAAUUUUUUAUAUAGUAGAUCUUUAUAGUAAGAAGAUCAUAUCUACCAAAAAAAAUGUUAAUCCAAUAUGUACAAGUACCCUAAAUAGGAUUGAGUCAUAAUUGAGUCAAACAUUUUCUGAGUCUCUGGAACUCCUCUCUUGAUAAAAAACAUUCAGUAUUGAAAUACAUGGUGUCAUUGAAGUCUGGAGCAACAUUUUAUUUUAUGAAACAUUUUUUAAUAUUAAUUAAAUAAAAUAAGAAUUAUUAGCUAUUAGUCCCACUAAAACAUGUGUAAUGAGUCUUUGGUCCAAAAAUUAUGCUUAAUAAGUUUUUGUCCUAUACUGUUAGUUGAAUGAUUAUCAACCGCUUUGACCCGAGUCAACCUAUCUUGUUUUUCCUAUAAUACCCAAACUACCCAAACAAUUAUAGUUUCUUUUUGGGCUGGGGCCCAAUAAAAGUCCAGCAAUUACCCAAUAGAAAUCCAGCAAUGAUCAAUUUUGGGCCAUUCCUAAGAACACGUGCAGAGCACGUGCAAGCCCGCGGCGGGUUUUGAAAAUCCUGUGGAGUACAGUAGUAUCGGUCCUCCCGGCGCAUAAUAGCAAUUAGUAGUUCAUCACUUGGCUUAAUCAAGAUUUCAAAUUUCCCCACUAUUUAGAUCGAGAGAAACCAUCAGAUCAACCAUUCAAAAAGCACCUUCGUAAGCUUUCAACAAUGUCUUCUACGGAUGCAGAGUUCAAUCUCAGAGUAAGAAUGCUCUCUGUUUCUCUCUCUGUUUCUCUCUUUCUCCUCUCUUCUAAUAGCGAUUUUGAACUCAUUUCAGGCAUCUACACAGCCAGGAUUCGGAAUCAGGUGCAUGACUUUUUCUUCAAAUUUCUUAGGGUUUAUACUUAGAGAAGAAUGUCCAGUCUUAGGGUUUUGCUUAUUUGGUUUUGCAGUGAUUGUACAUUUGCUGAUGCUGGAAACCUAGAACAUUGUGCAAAGUAUUUGAAUCAAACUCUUGUUACUUUUGGAUUUCCAGCGUCUCUUGAUCUAUUCGCUAAUGAUCCGGUCUGGUUUCGUCUCUUGAUCUAUUCGUCUCUUGCUUUUCGUGACGUGAUGUUGCUCUUUUCUGAUAUGUUUUCCAUUAAUUAGGUUUCAAUUGCACGGACCUGCAAUUGUAUUUAUUCUUUGCUUCAACAGAGACAGAGAGACAUUGAGUUCAGAGAGUCUUCAAAUGAGCAGCGGCAGAGGUAGACCUACAUUAUUUAUUUGUGCUGCCUUUUCAAAAUAAACAAUUACUCUAAAGGAGACCACAUGGAAAUCUUUUGGUAAUUUUGAUUCACUUGAUAGAAAUCCUUACUUUUAAGUCACUGUGGAUCAUAUACUCUUCUGUAUACAAUAUUUGAAAACAAGGAAUAGGACAUGUGACAUGUCUGUUAUUACAUGUUUGUGUGCGAGAGGUGAUAAAUAUGACUGAAACGUUAAUAAAUAUAAAGGUAAUAUGCCAGCUGCUUGAUUUUUUUUGAGUGAAUUGGUUGGAGUGCUGAAAUUUGUGUUACUGUAUGUCUAUCUGUGCAAACAAUUUCCAUGCACAUGCUUUUAGAUGAUAUUUCGAUUAAGUUAUGUAGAGUGUAGACAUGUUUGAUGUGGAAUUUUGGGCAACUCACCUGAUAGAAGUCUUUACUUUUAAGUCGAACUCUGGAUUAUAUAUCGUGAAAACAUAGACUAGGACAUUGUCUGUUAUUACAUGUUUAUAUGCAGUGAAGAUUAAUAUGAUCGAAACAUUAAAAGGUACCAUGCCAGCUGCCUAAUUUUGUCUGAGUGAACUGGUUGGAUUGCUGGAAAAGAAACCUGUUUCUGUUUGUUAAUAUAACACAGUAUUUCUUAGCCAGUUAACACUUUGUGCUGAAGUUUGUUUAACUUUAUGUCUAUUUAAGUAAAGAAUUUUCUUGGACAUGCUGUUAGCUGAUAUUUGAUAUUUCAAUGAAGUUAUGUAUAUUGUUGACAUGUAUGAUCGCAAUUGUAAAUGAGGUGGGAUUUCUUAUUCUCAUUAUAACAUGUGUGAUCUUUAUGUCAUAGAUUAUCAUCUGACAUGUCAAGGUUAGAAGCCAAAGUUGAGAGGCUUGAGGCACAGUUAGCAGCAAAAGACCGCGAGUUGGCUACAUUGACCCGAACGGUCUGACUUCUGAAACAGUAGCUUAUAGUGUUUUCCCUGUAAAAUGUUAGAUGUAACUGGAGGAUUUUUUUUCUAUUGCUAGCUCUUUAUUAUUAUUCUAACAAAAUUUUAUUGGGCAGGAGGCUAAAGCUGCAGCAACAUUUAAGGCUCAGAUUGAAAAGCUACAGCAGGAGCGAGAAGAAUUUCAAAGGAUGGUUAUUGGUAAUCAGGUUUGGGCACUCUUCUUGUGUUCUUGUGUUUUCUUACUGUCAUUUUUCUCUGGAAUGGCUCCUGACAAUAGUCUGUAUGGACUAAUAAUCCAAUAGCAAGUGCGGACUCAACAAAUACAUGAGAUGAAGAAAAAAGAAAAGGAAUACAUUAAGUUGCAGGUAGACACCUCUAUCCCAAUCUUUUAUAGGUCUAGUAGAGUAAUUAUUCGCUUGAUGAUGUUAGUAAAAGUUGAUAAAAUCUUAGAUAAUAAGUUAAAAAUGGAAAUUCUCUGCUCUGCAGGAAAGGUUAAACCAAGUUUUGAUGGAGAAAAAGAAAGAAUCAAGGUCAGGCAUGGAGAUAAUGAAUUUGCUUCAGGUAAAAUAACAGCGUUGGUGAAUUUUUCGUAUUGAAAGUGUGUAAACUACAGUCACUGACGCUACUGGUACAUGUAGCAGAAAGAAGGGCGCCAACGUGGGACGUGGAAUGGAAAGAAGGCUGACAAUGACUUUUACAAGAUGAUUGUACGGAACAAUAAGAAUGAGAAUCUUAUUUGCAAUUAUAUUAUUUUUAAUGCACUAGGACAACUAUGUUUUAUUAUAUUUUUAUUGGUACUGCAGGUGGAUUCUUAUGAGGUGAACAAGCAAGAGCUCAUGGCGGAAAAUGCUGACUUGAAGGCAUUGUUACGUUCAAUGCAGGUGAUUUAUACGAAUGUUUUUUUGCUGUUUUUUUUUUGAAAGGUUAACGAUCAAUAUAUUAAUAAGAAAAAGAUACAAAUUACAAGGGGGUAAGGGAUGAGCUAUCCAUAUAACCAAACUUAACAAAAAAAGAACAUAAGACAACCAACAAGACUAAACCCCUAAUGUAUGCUUUACAAUUUGCGAGGCUUUAUCAGUGCAAUUUGAUGGAAGAGAUAUGAUAAGCCUAUAUUCAGUGUAGAAUAAACAAAGUAGAGUCUGGAAUUCAUGUUCUGGAAGUGAAUAAAAUAGUUCUGAUAUGGUAGUUCAAAAAAAUAUCUCUAAGUUAUGAAGCUGUCGUUAUCACUAAUGUUUGCAGUGCACUGAACAAAAGCCUUAUUGAAAUGAUGUUCAUAUUCUAUAUCUGAUAGGAGACAUGUUAGACGAUUCUUUCUAUCUCAUAGACAUUCAUGAACAUAUAUAUUAGGUGACUGUAGUUCCCAUUGUAUUACUUAUUUGAUUAUUUCUUCCGUCUUUUGGUUAAUUGUCAGUUUGUUACCUUAUUUGUUUUGCUAUAUUGUUUCGAUUAAGCUUUUGUUUGGAUUUUGCAUGUGUCAUAUUUUCGUCCAAUUUUUUUUUUUUUAAUUGGAUGUACACAGUAUUAGAAGAAUUGUGACAUCCAGUGGUGAAUUACAGAAUUUACAUAUUUGUUUACUGGCUGAGUGAUGGUUUAUUUCUAUCCUACUCUACAUAACGGCAUUCCUGAUAUAUUCUGCCCACUGAGAGAGGAAACUAUGAUGAAAGAAUGAUCAAGCAGGCUUAUAGGAUCCAAGUGCUUUUCAUUGGAACGUUCGCAGGGUGUACUCACUCAUGAAGUGAUGCAUCCAUCUCCAUUAUCUUUAAUUAAGAAUUGAUAAUCUUCGUUAAGCCAUUUAUAUGGUUCACUUAUUGGGAUUUAGUUAUUGAGAACAUUUAAGUUGCACACACACACACAUACUUAAAAUUUAUCAUCAUUCGUCCAACAGUAGCAGAUUAUUGGAAAAUGAAGCUCUUGCUGAUUAGGCAUUUUUUUUAGUUCUUUAUCAAGCUUCUUUUGUGGCCUUUAACACUUCUAUGCAUUCAUGUUCAUGAUUAUGUUCGGUGCCAAGUCAUAUUUUGUUAGUCUGCAUGUAAAAAUUAUUGUUCUUAAUUUUCUAUCUGAUUUGAUUCAUUUAAUCUUUAGUCUUAUUAUUCUGCAGAUGGAUAUGCGCGAGUUUUUAAAUGCUCCAAAUGGACUAUCCAAACCAACGGUGCCUUUAAAUGAAAGACUUGAUGCAGACCCUCCACAGUCUCCGUUGGGUGGUAAGACGGUAAUGGUCCAUUCACACGCUUAAAAAUUUGAAUUGGUCAUUUAAAAAGAUGUUUUCAUUUGUUUGACUUUGAGAAUGCGUUUCUACUUGCAGGAUGUCUUUGAUCUUCCUUUUCACAUGGCUAGGGAUCAAAUAGAAGAGAGUCUUCGAACUAAGAUGGCUUCUAUAAAGGUGACUUUUAACAACUUUUGCAAAUCCUUGUUGUGGCAUUUCCAGGAAUGGAAUUUGGCUUAUUAUUUGAAUUAACUGUAAGGUUAUUAUUAAUUUGUUUUAGUUCCUAACUAUUCAUUAUGAUUGGAAGGAGCGGAUGGUUCAACUACAAGAUGCACAAAAAGGAGCAGAGGUUACUUCUGAAGCAACUGAAAGGGAGCUUGAACUUGAAGCCCAACUAGUUGAAGCGAGGAGCAUCAUCCAGGAGCAGGUAUGAUCUUUUCUUGUUAUAUUGGUAUAUAGCAUUACUGUAGAAUGUUUAUUCUAGUUCCAACUAUUUGAGACGAGGAACAAUUGAACAAGUUCAUUUACCAAGUGAAAAAAUGUUCUGUAUAUGCUGUAAAAGGUGCAGGCACUGACUAUAUGCUUAUGUCAGAUUAAGUAGUCUUGCUAGGAUCUUUGUCUUGCUUUUGCCUUCUGUUUUGUUCUCUUUGUUCGAUGAUUGAUACGAUCAGGAAAGACCAUUUAAAAAAAGUGUAUACUGUAAUUUGAAAAUUUAGAAAUAAGGGACUAUUUAUUAUGGGUAAAUACCAAAACCAGACUCGCUUUCAUGUUUAUACCAAAACCGGACAUGGUGUUUUUGUUUUGUGAAACCACUUGACGAGUUGACGUGUACUUUCAAAAUGGCAGUAUUACUCCCACAAAUAAUCCUGUGUGUAAAACAUUGUCCUUUUCUUACCCUGCAAACUGCAAUCAUUGUUGUAUUGAAAGGGACAGAGUACUCUCUCUCCCCAAAAUCUUUCCAGCUAUUAAUGGAUCUCAAGUCUCUUUGAAUUAUAAAAAGAUAUUGACGAUGUUGAAGAAGAAGAAUGAGUGCUCCAUAACUUGUUUCUUUCUUUUCAUGGUCUUUCUCUUUCACAAGAAAAAACUUCAGAAUACCCACUUCACAAGAUGACGACGCUGAAGCAGCUGCAACUGGUGAACCAGAGAGAUCAUCACUUUACUACUGUUUAGAUUUAUUAAUAAAAGCAGUUACAAACAACUCUCAUCUUCCUAAUUACUCUUGUCUAAAGGAUAAAACUCAUUAAUUAAGGUAAUUAAAAUUUCAUGUUCAGUUUUAACGCAUCCACACUCAUAAGAGCUAUUUUAUGUAAAUUCCUUUAAAUCAAAACGAGUCUUCUUCUCCAAUUCCUGAGAUAAAAGAGAGAUGAAUAUAGUGGGAAUAUGGGAGUGGUAGCUCUUUCAAUUAAUAGGAUGAUGUGUAAAGGUAUCAACAAGGGUUAUUUGAGUAAUUGUAACCAUUCUGUACUCUAGUGAAUAUCAGUGGGACCUACUGCACAGUGAGGAUAAAAUGUUAUUUUCCACGGUAUGAAAAGUCAAGGUAGUAUUGGAAGUCCGGUUAUGGUAUAAACAUGAAAACGAAUCCGGUUUUGGUAUCUACCCUUUAUUUAUUUCUAGAUUUAGGGACAAAUAUAUUUGGACACUUUGAGUAAUAUCCACUUUAGAUGUUUAUGUCAUGCUAAAAGAAAGAGAAGCAACACCAGUGAGCAGUCAGCAGUAGAGCACCAGUUCUGGUGUAAAGAUUAACGAGACUAGGGUAAAACAGUAUAUAUACAUACACACACACACUAAACUGAAAAAUGGCUAGCCAUGGAUCUUUUUUUUUGGGUAAAGGCUAACUAUGGAUCUGUUUAGCUGUGGAUUAUAUUUUUAGCCUUGGUAUGUAGUACACAACCAUGAUGCUGUAUUUUGUCCUUAUUCAAAUUCAAUCUUCAUGCUCUUUAGAUUAAAGUUUCUUGAGACCUAAUACUAAAUUGAUUAACCUUUCAGCCACAUAAACCACUCGUCUAGUAAAAGUGGAAAAUUCCUAGAUGAUUAUGUUAUGUGUAUGUAUUACACAUAAGCUUAUGAAAUUUGCUUGAGCAAAAGUUUGGUGUUUAUUGAAGGAAGACUAGAAAGUACACCUCUCUUCAUGGAUACAUGAAGAAACAAUGUGGUCGCCUUUUGCUGUUCAGGGGUACUCCACAUUGUUUGAUGUAAAUCCAAAAGCAAAACAGAAAAACCAGUCUUCUCCGAAUAAAACACAUGACCUCUCUUAACAUUCCAAUUUUGUUAAAGAGUGUAUUUGGAUGUGGAUUCCGCGGCAUUUUAUCUAGAUUGAUAGACUGAUUUCAAGUGAAGUGAUUAAAGUGGAUUGGCUCACAGGUUCCCCACUCCGCUUUUGCUUCUCGUGAGGGGAACAGAGCGCUUUUGCCCCACUAGCUUGUGCCCGAAGGCUUAGUGCUCACUUUCUUCUCUCAACAUUCCAAUUACGUUACUAUUUCAGUUUCAUUUGACAAGAAACUAGAGUCCAUUCAACUUAAUGUUCUCUUUGCCACGCUGGUCAACUCUUAAAAUUUAGAAUUUAAAGUCGAGUUUUCUAACUAUAUAGGAGAGAUUUCACAUGAGAGGUUCCAGCAUAUAAACGUUUACAAUGAAGUUGGGAUACAGUAAUGUUUUUUGAGUAUCCAUAUAAGGCAUGUUUCAUGUACCACUUAAAUGGUUUGAUUGAGAUCACUAUAAACCUCUGUAAAUAGUAACGUAUCAACUUAAUUUUUCUAGGUCUAGAGACCAUCAUGUUUAGACUUGUUACUGUUUAAACUGCAAAAUCUUGACUUCUUCUGCAGGGUAUAGAUACCGUUUCAGUGGAAAUAUAUACAUAUUGUCCAUCAUCAUAUCCUCAAUAUUUGCAUGACUUACUUUUCGAACUUUCUUCUAAAUCACAUAUGUAGCCUGGAGAUUAUAAAAAGUUAGGAAGAAUAACCAGAACUCCUUACUAGCCAUUUUGUAAAAUUUUAGGGUCUUCGUUUGAAAUUAAACACAGGUUUCUAUCCAGACGUCACUUGGAUUUACCUUCAGGAACCUAGGUACACAGGUUUACCUUUAGAGCGAGUAUCUUUAUGAGAACCCAUUGAAUGAUGGUUUGGAGAGAUCUCUCAAACUUAUUCCCACGUGCCUAACAUUUUGCAAUCUCCAAUAUGUGAUUUAGAGGUAUAAAUUUGCAGGUAUCCUUUGUAUUUAUUUUACAUUUAUCACAUGCUUUUUUAUCCAGACAUUCGUUCGGUUUACUUUUUAGAGACUUUGGUCCAAGAUCUUGAUGUCUUCCUAUAUUGCUGAAGUUGUCUGUUUUUUCCCACCAAUGCAAGUCACUGUUUUUUCUGACGUCUUUAUCUUUGGUUUAUUGAUUAUAUUACGUAUUUACUUUUAGAUGCAGGCAUCAAUAAUGUCCAAACAUCUUGCAAAGUCUGAGAGGCCGAGGUAGCCCCCCCUUCCCCCCCAAAAAAUAAAAUAAAAUAAAUAAUAAUCUUUGUUUGUUUCUUUAGUUAAACAAAUACCUUAUUUGUAACUUACAAUUUUUUGCAGGAGACUGAGCGGCCAUCUAGAUUCUGAGCUUUCAUCACCUGCCGAGGUAUCUUUCGUUUACUGUCUUGAAUUCUAUUUGUACCUUGUUACAGUUAUUAACUUGUAUCUAAAGGGCUGUUAGUAUAAAACUAUGUAAUAAAAUGACUUCUUUUAGUCUCACCUGUAAAACUUUUAAUAUUGUUCAUAUGUUGGUAGUGGUGUAUUUAUUUAUUUGUUUGUUUGUUCAGGGAGUCUAACGCAUUAUUUGCCCUGGUGCUUUUUGUGGUAAAUUGGCUAUCUAAAGGUGGUUAUAUGAAGCUGUAACAGAACAGAGAAGCCUGUCAACUGUUGUGAACAUACUCUGGAAGAGAAAUUGUAAACUCAAUAGUCAAAAUGAGAUAUUUAUUAGGAAAGAAGGCAUUUUAGAAUAUGUAAUUGUAGUGUGGAAUCUUUUGUUAAUCAUUUUGGUCAACUACUCCGCUGAAAAGUAGGUAAAAAAAAAACCAUACUUGUAGUUGUAUCAAUUAGUUUUCAACUUGAUAUCAUGAAAGAAGCAGUUUAACUUUUACUACUGAGCAAUGUUAAUGAAUAUGAAAACAUUUUGUUUUUCCAUUUUCUUAAAGUUGCUUGCUAACAAAGUAACAAGCAUGCUUCACUGGAGAAAUUGUAAACUCAAAAGCCUCAUGCCUGGUUUGGGUUUUGUCAGUUUUAUAUGAGAGAUACAUCAUACAAUCAUACAUAUGUUUCCAUAAAUGUUUCCAUAAAAAGUCAUCAUGUGCCCAUAGAAUAAUGGCCAAACACUAGAAUUUCACACUAGGAGGAGGAGGAUUCACCACCGCUUUUCGCAAAUGUUGGGUAGAGAGGAGAAGACCACCACCACCACCUCUUUUCACAAAUGUUAAGAUUUCAUACCUUCCAAAGCAAGAAUUUCCACUUUUUUUCCAUUGCAGCAAAGACGAUAACCUAUUAUCCUCCACGAAGCCUUGUCCUUUUUGGGAGUCUAGUAAAUUUUCUUCUAAUGAUUGAUUUAUGAGAUUUUGGAACUUAACCCCAUUUGAAAGUCGAAAUUUGUGUUACCCCAUUUGAAAAAAUAUAGCAGUUACCCCCCCAUUGGACGAAAAAAUAGCCGGUAUUACAAAAAUUAAUUUUUAAAUUUUCGUAAAAUAAAAUAUUUUGAUAAUACUAAAACUACCCUUCUUUAAACAUGCAAAUAAUAAACACAAUUAGUAACCCCCCACCCCCCACUGAAACAUACAUAAUUAACAAUACCUCCUAAAUCGAUAUGUAAAAAAAUUUGAGGGAGAAGAUAGAUUUUUAAGAAAAAAGAUGAAAUUUGUUUGAGAAAUUUGUUAAAUUUAAAGAACAUGAAUUUAUUUGAGAAAAGUUAGGCUUAUUUAUAAACUUUUGGGAAUUUUGGAUUUUUGGGGAAGACAACAAAGUUGACGGUUAGAUUAAGUACUAAAUAGAUAGAUAAGAUUAUGACACAUGUCAUUAUUAUCAGAAUAAAAAGAAUAUUUUUAGUAUUAUUAAAAUAUUUUAUUUUAAAAAAAAUUUAAAAAUUAAUUUUUGUAACACCGUGAAUUUUUUCCAUCCAAUAGGAGGGGGUUUAACUGCUAUAUUUUUUUAAAUGGUGUAACGCAAAUUUCGACUUUCAAAUCGGGGUAAGUGCCAAAAUCUCUUGAUUUAUUUAUUUUUCUUUCUGACAACAUGGUGCCCAGGCUACCUGAUCUGGUUAAAAAAAAUGUUGCAAACGUCUAUAUUUUAUCAGUCAGACAGCUGCAUGUGAUGUAUUAUAGCUCAUUGUUUGGUGAUCAUUUGCUUUACUUGCUACCAUCACUAUGGGUUUAUUUGGAAUUUUGGAUACGAAAAGUCUACUCAAAUAGAAAAUCAAAUUUUUUUUAGCUAUAUGUGCAUUUUUUUUAUAAAUAUGGGAAAGUCAAAUUACAAUUACACCCCAAAAUAUUUUUAGUAUAUAAUAUCGAUAUGGGGGUGUCUAAAAAACUGAGGCGCAGAAGAGAAAUCAAGGAGUGGUCUCAGUGGGUGGUUUGGGGGGCUUGAAGGAAUCAAGGAAUCAUCGUUAAGCUAAGCCAUUCAUAAAAAACCACUCCCUUCUCGGUUCUUCAUUCUACCAGAUCUGAUGGACUAUAUAUUGUUGAUUCUUCAUCAAAGGAAUACUUUAUUGGCACUGGCAGCUAGGGGUGGGCACGGUUCGGUUCGGAUCGGUUUUGGACAAAACUGUCAACCGAACACCUAGCAGGUGUUUUGCAAAAGUUUAAACUGAAACCGAACUUUUUUAUUUUUAAAACCGAACCGAACCGAACCGAAUAUUUUUAACUAAAACCGAAACAGAACCGAACAUAUAAUUAAGUUCGGUUAACCGAAUAAAACUGAACCGAACCAAAAAACUGAUAAUCUGAAAAAUCUGAAAAUCUGAAAUUGCCUAUUCAGUCAUAUUACAUCUAUCAGAAAUUCAGAAUAACACAAUUCAGUUUCUACAAAUGACAGCAUCACAUUAAGUUUACAAAAUCACAAGAGAAGUAGAGAUCAAAGCCAUUAGGCCACCAAGCAGAUUCUGCAACAGAUCUGCAGCAGUAACACAGGUCUUAGAACCUCACAAGUCACAAGCAGUGAUGAUCAACUGUAAAUGUCGACAAAAUUGUGACAGAUUCCAGAUUUCCAGAUUUCCUGCCCACCAACAGCACAGGUCUUAGAACCCCAGGUAAUAUCAUUGUGACAGAUUCCAGAUUUCCUGCCCACCAACAGCACAGUGUAUCAUAAGGUGGCUUACCUGCCCAAAACCAAAGCUGAUCACCAUAUAUUCUGAGCAUAUAUAUAUAUUUUCAUUUUAAAGAAAGCCUGGAAAUUGGCAGGAAAAAAAAAAAAAAACUAAUGGGAUGAAUACCCACUGUCAAGUUUAAUGUCCUAUUAAUCGCGAUAGAUUGGUAGUUUUUGUUGGUCCAAUAUAAUGUAUAAGUUAAAUUCCAAGCAAUUUAUUUUCUUUUGAUAUGUAUGUAACAGAGUUUUAAUUAAAAUUUACAUCAUGUAUUCUUCGAAUUUUUGUAUAAGCUUACUUAAAUAACAACUGCUCUAGUAAAAUUUGAUUGAUCAUCUGAUCUCCAACAGCAACAUAAAUCAAAGACAUACAUUUGGUUGACAAAGCAGAGUAAAACAAAGAGAUCAUAUAAAAUUUCAAGUUUGGUUGACAAAGCAGAGUAAAUCAAACAAUUGAUUUCAAGUUUCAAUUAAAAAUACAAGAGAUCAUAUAAAAUUUUGGAUUUUUAUGGAGAAUUGUUUACACAUACAAAAACAUCCAAUUUUUCCCCAAUACAAAAUCUAGGGUUUCUAAUAUGCAGAAAUGUGUCAAAUGUUUUAAGAGAAAUUAAACUCAUUUCUGCAUAUACUAUUGAAAAGAUAAUCACCUAGAUUUUGUAUUGGGGAAAAAUUGGAUGUUUUUGUAUGUGUAAACAAUUCUCCAUAAAAAUCCAAAAUUUUAUGUGAUCUCUUGUAUUUUUAAUUGAAACUUGAAAUCAAUUGUUUGAUUUACUCUGCUUUGUCAACCAAACUUGAAAUUUUAUAUGAUCUCUUUGUUUUACUCUGCUUUGUCAACCAAUACAAAAUCUAGGGUUUCUAACAAUCAACAUAUACUAUUGAAAAGAUAAGAUAAUACUGUAAAUAAAGAAGAAGAAGAAGAAGAAGAAGAAGAAGAAGAAGAAGAAGAUCGUACCUAAGAAAGAAAGAGUGUCUGUCUCGACUCUUGAGUGCUGAAUGAUGUGAAGAAGAAGAGAAGAAUAAUGGAGUACAGGAGGCUGAUUAGGGAUUGAAGAAGAAGAGGAGAUUUUGCAAGGGAUGAAUAGAUGGGCUAUUGGGCUGGACUAUGCUGGAGUGUUGGAUACUUGGAUAGACUCCUGGACUCCUGGACAGAUGGGUUGGACUAUGGAGAGAUGGGCUGGACUAGUGGGCUGUAUACAAAAUACAUGUUCGGUUCGGUUUUGGGUGUUCGGAAAUUUUUGAAACUGCAACCGAACACCCAAAGCAGGUGUUUUGCCAAAUUAGAAACUGCAACCGAACAUGGAAACAUGUAAACACCCUAUUUUCGGUUCGGACCGGUUCGGAUCGGUUCGGUUUACAUGUUUCGGAUCGGUUUUGCCCAGCCCUACUGGCAGCACAUAAUUCCCCCUAUUAUAUUCCAUAGGCUGCCGGUUUGUUUUCUGCAAGACAGAUGGAGCAAGUAAUUUUCAGCAGUGUGGCUAGUGAGUAUUGACACAUCAGCAGAGAAUACAGCUCAGCAGACAGUUGAUAACUGUAAUUAGUUAGGGAGAAAUAACAAAGAUUUACUCGUUUCAUUCUGUUCCUCUUCUUCUCUAAUUCAACAGUGAGGUGGUGCGUUUAUUAAACAAAAGUGGUGCCGUGGAGUUUAAUCAACAAGAAAUGAAGUUCGACGGUCAUAGAAUUUUUGAUCCAGUUGAUCGAGUUAUAUGUGUAUGUUUUUUUUUUUGACAAGUAAGCUGGGGUUAGGCAGACCCCACCUGUAUUUCAAAUAAAAAAUGUUACACUCUUUCAUAGACUGAGUGUACGUUGCUAAUACAGUACUAGCCUUUAUGCUUGUUUUAGAGAGCCGGUAUUCAAACCCCACCAAUUGGUAAUCCCACCCCACCCAGGUUCAAUUAGUCGGUAUUCCCACCCCACCUGGUAAAUACACCCCCAUAAAUACUUAAUUUGAAAAUUAGAUUGAUUUUUCAGUUUUUCUUUCUUGUUUCACAAAAAGUUGAAGACUUGAGGCAGAAGAAGAAACACAAGUGGGAAAAAAAGUUUCUCCACUUUUAUUAUACAAGUUUGUUUAAGGUAUACAAGUUUAGGCUAAACCGCUAAACCGAAUGGUUUUGUCAUUUAGACUAAACUGUUUACGCUGCUGUGAGUGCUUUUUGUAGUAGUAUGGUAAAUUGAAAAGUCUCGUAUAAAAACUUCUAUACACAAAAACAAAAAUAAAAAUAGUUCAAUUCUCUAACUCAAUUGUUAAACAUGCCAACCUAUAAAAUAAAUGAGUGAAAACAUAAAAUAAUCACCUGACAUUAUGAUUCUUCUUCGCCUCCAGACCCAGUCACAUAUAUGGGAUGAGCUUCGAUUGCAUCAUUCGUUUGCAGUUUCUCCCCAAUGAUUGUCUUGUAAGUUUUUGCUCGUGUCUCAAUCAACAAAUCCCAUCCCACUGCUUCGGGUUGCUUAAAUUUUUCCCAAUAACUAACUGCACUAGGUAUAGGAAAAAAAUCCUUGAGUUUCACAUGUACAGAAUGUGCCAUCUCUUGUAUCAAGCAAAAACUAAUAACAUUAUACCCCAUAGGAGGUGGGGGCGCCGAAUGCAAUGACAAAAAAGUCAAACAAACUUUGCUCGAUAGGUGAACAAAGACUCGAUUAUAAAUACUUGCAAUAAAAUCCCCACAAUAGGGCAUUACAAUCCAAAACUUUGGUUCACAUGGACUUGUGAAAUGAUUUAUGAUCUUUCUCAAGGUAAUUACCGACAUAACUCCACCAGAUACCCUUUUGUACAACUCGCCGUAUAUAUCUAAUUCUGCAAUCAUGUCUUCUCUUACAAUAUGCCAUUUUUCCUCCUCACCCCAUAUAGCCAUAACAAUAGCUCGAAAACCACAAUUUCCAUCUGGCCGAGGGUUCUUAAUUUCACUCACAUAUGGUUUCAUAGGCUCAGGUAUAUACCCAAUGAAUUGACUAUAACAUGAUCCUUUACUUACUUGUUUUGAUCGAGUAUUUUGAGUUGCCUUCAUACCGACCUUUGCCUUUGCUUUCUUCCCACCACUUUCUUUCUUACCAAUGUUUGAUGUCUCGAUUGAUCCUGGUGUUGACAUUGUUAACUCAAAUGCAGAUGGAUUUCUCUCAGACCAUUCAUCAACUUUAUUUUUAAGCUUGUUUAAUGCUCCUUGUGGUCGACCUUUUGGUUUAGCUUUUUCAUUUUGCUCAGGCUCAGUUGCCCAGGUAGUCUUUGGGUUUCCAAGAUCCCUUAAACGUCGCAACAAGUUUUUUUUUUUUUGGAAAUCAUUGCACUUUCGAUAGUGAGAAUAGAAUAUUGCAAAUUCCUCAUGGCACUCAAGAUCAGAAAUGUCUACUCUCCGAGGAAUAGCACUAAGCUUCUUCCAAAAUGGAUGGAUCCCACUCAAUUGCAAUUUCUCGUUCUUCAACUCCUUAAUGUUCAUUUCAUGUGCACAAUGCAACCCGUGGGUUACCUUCUUGGUACAACCACAAAUACUUGGAUCGGUGAGAAUGUAUUCCUUCCUCUCACCCUCUUUAAGCAAUAUAUUCAAAGCAUCUCUCGAGACAUAUCCUCUUAAUUGAUCGAACAUAAUGAUUCUAUGUCCACGAGGAGCAACAUUCAAACUCCUCUCGAACGAAGCCUUUAUCUCUGUCAUUUGGGUAGUCAAAGAUGGAUGAAUCAUGUUGAACAUGGUGAGAAAUGUAUAACGACUUGUUCUCAAAAGUGAAUUCUUCAAGGCUGAAUGCGCACUUUCAACUCGAUUUGUGCUAUUGUUACCAAAGUGGAAAAAAUGAUCAGUCCAAGCAUAGACAAACUUCUCCUUAUAGGGCAUCUAUGUUUCUUGGAUGUAAGAAAACAACUGUGGGUACUCAUGGAAGAAAACUCGCAUCUGGUACAUACGACUCUCAAACUCGGAAAUUGACGCAGAGUGCACAAUAUUAGUCCAUGAAUCUGUGAGCUUGUUUCUUUUAUCCUCGUCCUCUAUCUCUACCCUUGCCUUUGAUUGCACCCCCAUACCAAUGUGCCAUUUGCAUGAUAUUUUAUUGGAAUCGGGAAAUAUAGCAUCCAAAGCUUUCAUUAAUGCCAAGUCUCUAUCUGUAACAAAAGUCUCUGGCACCAACUCAUCUAGCACAUCAAGUCUAAACCUUUUUAAUGCCCAAGUAAAAUUGCAAGUGUUCUCUUUUUUCAUCAAACAAUAUAUAACAAACAAAAAAUGUUUUCAUUGUUGAGGUAAUUCCCACAAUCUCAAGCAACGACCAUUUGUAGAGGUUUGUUUUGUAGGUCGAAUCCAUAAUAAAAACGUAUGAAAAACAUUUGGCUAGAGCAAUAGACUCUGGAUGUGCAAAAAACAAGAUAUUGAUGACAUUCAUCUCAUCUACCUCCUCAGAUACCACGUACCCUCGCUCACUUGCUAUAUUCUUCAAUUGUUGCAUGCUUAUUCUCUUUUCCAUUUCGCUAUAGAGCUUUUUUGCCUCAUUGUACAGUAUUUGCAACGUCGCACAAUUUCCAGGUUCAGUCUUUUCAAGAUAGCAAGUGCUUACUUAGGUUUGACCCCACCCAAUGACAUGUCUUGAAACCUAGCUUUUUCCUCUUGGGUUAGUCUCCCUACAAAAGAGUGGCCCUCCAUGUAUGUGGCCAAUGGGUGGUUGUGCCUUCCACAAUCAACAUUUACUGUCCAACUAUCAAUACUUCUAGAAAAAUAAACUCCUCUAAUUUUAAACGGGGAAUUUAUCUUUUUUGUCCCUGUAUUUUUUGCCAAUGUUUGGGUUGUUAUGAAUCCAAUUAUUAGAGUUAUCAAGAAUUGCCUCAAUCUUGUUGUGACAUCUAUGAAUUAGGGUUGUGAGAUGAAAGAAUUUUGUGUUUUUGUCACCUCCUUUAAUUAUUUGGUUACUUGACUUUUGUUUCUAAAAGGAUUCUUGUUUUUGAAGGGCAAUAUCCAGGAGAGAGAAGAUCUUUUUCUUUGAUUUUAUUUUUCUCAUUGUAAGGGAGAGUAUGGAUGGAAGUGAUUUUUGAUUUUAAGUUGUCCAUUUCUUUGAAGAUAUCACCAAAGACUUUUUUAUUCCAGAUCUUUAAAGUUUUCUUUGUUUGUUUGUGCUGGGGAAUAAGUUGGUCUUUUGCUUCACAAUGUUUUGCACUUUUCCAGGUAAAGUCCACAAGUUUUGUGUAAGAGGGGUCUCUUAGCCACAUGCUGUGGAAUUUGAAAGGUUUUGGUGACUUAUCUUGCAAGGGUUGGAGAGAAAGGAGGAUGGGACAAUGAUCAGAGGAGAUAGAUGGCAAGUGAGAUGGAGUUGUUUUAGGGAAAGCAAUUUUCCAUUCAGGAGAGACAACACAUCUAUCUAAUCUUUUUCUAAUGUUUUCAAUUCCUAUUUUUUUAUUACACCAUGUGAAUGGUUGACCAGAGAAACCUAGGUCCAGAAGCCCAAGACUUUGGACAAUGGUAUGGGCAAAGGCAUUUUCAUUUGUCUCAAAAGGUAGAUAUCCUUGUUUUUCAUUUUGAGAGAAGAUGAUGUUAAGAUCUCCUAUAACCAUCCAGGGAUGGUUAGAGUGCUUAUGAGAGUCAGAGAGGUUUUCCCAGCUUUGUUCCUUGAACUCAGGGUAUGGGCUGCCAUAAAAGAAAGAGAAGUUCCAUUUUUGAUGAGUUCUAGGGUCGUGGAUGGUAGUAUCUAUGAUGUGCUUAUUACUCAAGAUGAUUUGGAUGUUGAGGUUGGAGUUCCAGAGAAGAAGGAGACCAUCAGACCACCAUCCAUAUGGAGGGGACGAACCAGGUGAUGAUGAGUGAAUUUAAAGAUUUCUGAUGAGUCUCUGAGUAGCAGGGAUGUUUUCUUUUGUCUCAGAAAGGAAGAACACAUCAGGUUUAUGCUCUUUGGUUAAAUCUAUGAUUGAUCUGUAAGUGGGGUCAUUUCCACUUCGUCUAACAUUCCAAGAUAUUAUUUUAAAAUUACUAGGGGGGGGGGGGUGUGACAGUAGUGAUGUUGGAAGUGUGUGUAUCAGGUGUUAUAGAAGUUGUGAUGAGAGGAAAUGAUGUGAACUAAGUUACUCAAGUGUGUGAAGUUGUAAUCUAGGUGUUUGUGUGCAUUUCUGAUAUAUAUAGGUGGCAGUUAGGCAAGGUGUUAUUCUCAGUAUUUUUUGGUUUCAUGAGAGUAUUCCAUAACCAGAUGUUCCUGAGUAGUGUUUCAGACCAGAUUUUGUGCCAAUGAUGGUAAAUGUAGUUUCUUGAAAUACUGUAGUCAGGGUGCAUGGCUAGUUCUUCAGACCCAUGACAAGUAGUAAAGUGCAGCAUGUAAGUCGAUCAAAUGUGUGUUGAGCGUUGGUGGUAUAUAACAGUUUGGUAAAGGUGAAACAUUGCAUAACAUAGAUAAUGAAACAUGAAUUUCUAUAGUGAUUGCAUGACUAAUAAGUGAGAGAUUGUGUGAGGGUGAUAAUUAGUUUUAAUGGUGGUAUGAAAUAGGAUUGAAAGUGCAAUAGAAGAAAGAACUAGAAGAACUUACCUCCCUUGCGUUUUCAUCGUCAAUAGGGGCCAACACCUCUGCAGGAACAACAAUUGAUCCAACUUGCCCCAGGUUUAUGGAAGAGCUGAUGGAUUGAUUUGUGCUUGAUGAAGAUUCAUUUGUGAUAACAUGAGAUGAACGGAAUUCCAAUCCUCCAAAUGGGUCAAAGGUUUGAUGUUGCUCAUUUUCUAAUUCUAGAGGACUAUUUGGGGUUGGAUCUGGUUGAGGGGCGAUGUUUCGAAUUGCAGUUUGAAUUCGAGCGUUCAUAGUUGAUUGAAAGUUUUAAAGUGGGAUUGAUGAAAUUGGGACGAUGAAUGGGUUGAAAUUGCAGUUCAGUAUGGGGGUUGCUUCUUGUGGAUAGAUUGUGACUUCAAAUUGUAGUAUUGUGAAUGGUUGUUUCUCUUUCCUUUUUUUGUCGAUUUCUUUUUGUGUCCUUCUUCGAGAUUUUUGACAUCAAGGGUUCCUCCUCUUUUAAUUUCAUUGAUCAUAACAUAAUUUUUCCUUUUUGUAGCUUUUUUUCUUCUCAGAAUUAUUUGUUAUGAUUAAUCCAACCUUUUGCUUGUAAGUCGUUUUCGAUCCAUAAGGUCUUCUUUUGCGUUUUCCGUUCACCGUCAGGGUAACUGGUUUUUUGAGCUUUGUGUUUCUUGGUGCCUAAGAUUGCACAAGGAUAUCACUUGCUGUUGUUUGAAAAGUUUGUCUGGGCUCCAAUGAGAAGUCAGGUUCCAUCAAUGAGCCCUCAUACUGGCUUGUGUAACAGAGUGUAACAUUGUCCUUGUUUGUGAUUACUGGGUCAAGAUCUUCAAUUUGGCCCAUGGUCUCAUUUUCUGCAUUUAGAUAUUUUAUCUGGUGGAGGCCUGGCCCAACUUCUGGUUGUCCAAACAUGUGUUGUUGGUUGUUUUCGAUUGUACUCUCCUCCAUUCUGGUCGAGCUUUGACCAAAUUCGAACGUUGAGUCUUCUCGGAUUUCAGUGAUUAGCAAAGCUGGUGUCUUCUUGUUAGAAGGAUCUUUAGGAUGAACACUGUAUUAACCAUAUUUGUGAGGUUGGUCAAUACAUUAAUGAAUGAUGAUGUGUAUGUAAAUGAUAUGAACAAUAAUAAAGUAGAAAAGACAUGACACCAUUGUUUACGUGGUUCGGCAAUUGUGCCUACAUCCACGGAGAGGGAGAAAGAAGUUUAUUAUAGUAGUGGUGGUGAUACAAAAUGGGAGCUCGAUUAUGAGGAGAGCUCGAGAGAGAUGAGACCUGAGAGGUGAGGUCUCAUCAUGAGAGAUUAGGGAGGUCGUUGAUAUUGAGACCUCACCAUGAGAUAGUGGUGAGAGCAUUAGACUAUCAGACCAUGUCUGGAAUGAGUGAUUUGCCUUCAUAUUUAUAGGCUUACAAUGUAACUCCAUUCCUAGCAUUUAAUGAGGUAAUGAUGAGAGAAUAUCUUUGUAGUAAUUGGCUUUAACUUUGUAACUUGUGCCAUCAAGAGAGAGUCCAUUAGAUGAUGACAUGUGGCACCAUGAUGGAUGGUAGAGAUGGUGCCACAUGUAUGUUGUAUAUAGUACCCCUACAUAAGCCCCCUCUUUUUAGGUUGAACGGAGUUCGGGCUGAAAAGAAGUAAUCGAACCGAUCUAGCUCCCAAGAUGAAUGAAAUAUGGGGUUCUUUAACGAAGUCGAUCCGCCCCAAAUUUUGAUGAGCUUGAUCAUUGAGAUUUGCAGGACGCGAUGAAGGUCCCUUGUGGUAAUUGCAACUCGAUCAUGACUUUGUGUAUAGCGAGCUAGUUAGUUCCAGGGAGACCUGGUAGCUCGUUCAGAAGGCAUGUAGACGAGAUGGACAGCUGCAAGCAGGUCGUACUGAAGUGCGUCCUCUUGUAUGCUUGGGUGGUUGGUCUCGGCCAUGCUUGAAGGUGGUCGCGUUUGUGUGAUCGAAUUGCAUAGACCUGAUAAUGUUAGCAUGUGAAACAUUAUAAAAUUCAAUAAAAGAUUUACAUGGAAUUGUACGUCUUCCUUAUGACUUGUAUGUACUAUCUUUGUCGCCUUGUGACUGGACACUUCGAUAGAUGUGGCACUUUGGAGUGCAAAUGUAGCUCGUUUGAGAAAGAGCAUUGGUUGACCAAGUGUUUUGAGAGUUACUUGGAACCUUUUGGUGCCCGAUCUAGUGAAUGGUCGCAGCGUGGGGACCUGUUUGACAAUUCUCGGGCAUGUGGCCUUUGUGGGUCUGCAUUGCGUUGAGAGUGAAUGCGUUCGACCAGGCGUGUGGCUAGAGAAUUGUGGUUGAGGUCGUCCCGCAUACGAGUGACUCACUAGUCAAUGAGGGUGGCCAUAUUUUAUAUCAAGCAUUUCACUUGUAAAGAGUUCAGUGAAAACAAUGUGGCACAUUUGUGCAAAAAUAGCUCAUGGGGAGUGAGGUCGUGUUCAUGCGACCUGCACAUAGAGAGAGCUACAAAAAAUAUCAUUAAAAGCUAAUUGUGCUAAUAAUAAGUUAAUUUCAUUAGAUAAAGUGAGAAUAGCCCCCUGUAUGGCAUAAAUAUUGUUGAGGUCGUUGAAAGACCUGUAAUUUGAAGAGGUCGUUGGUAGACCUGGUGAGGUCCCAAUUGGAGACCUGAACAAGAAGUGAGGUCGCGACGAGACCUGAGUGUUGGGGAGGUCGCAAUGAAAGACCUGAUGAGGUCGUGAUUAAGGACCUGGGGAGGUCGCGAUUAAGGACCUGGUGAGGUCGCGACGAGACCUGAGAGGUCGUUGGUUUAGGGACCUGACAUGAAGUGAGGUCGCGUCGAGACCUGAGAGGUCGUUGGCUUAGAGACCUGAAUAAGAGGUCAGGUCGCGAUGAGACCUGAGCUCGUCUGCUUAGAGACCUGAAUAUGUGAGGAGGUCUCUGCAAGACCUGAACAUGUGGCCAUUAAGAAUGUAACUGAUGAUAUAUAAUCAUGAUCGAGUUAUGAGAAUAUAAGUUACAUAGAUGCAUAUAAUAAUCAAUUUGUGUGAGACAAAAUAGAAUGAACAGUAAGAAAUGGAGGUCUUUCGAGUGUGUAAACAUAAACAAAUAUCAUAGUGAAUUGAUACUUAUCUUGCUUUCGUCGAGUUUCACAUACAGUAAUGGUAACCGAGAGUAAACCCCCAAUUGGAAAUUGUGAUUGCAAUUCUACCAAAUAGAAUUUCUUGAACUUGAAAUCACCACUUUGAGAGCCUUACAACAAUGGUGUAAUGGUGGGGUUGGUGGGUGGAAUUCGCUUGAGAAAAUCCCAAGUCCCUGUAGUCGGCGCCAAAUGUAUUAACCAUAUUUGUGAGGUUGGUCAAUACAUUAAUGAAUGAUGAUGUGUAUGUAAAUGAUAUGAACAAUAAUAAAGUAGAAAAGACAUGACACCAUUGUUUACGUGGUUCGGCAAUUGUGCCUUCAUCCACGGAGAGGGAGAAAGAAGUUUAUUAUAGUAGUGGUGGUGAUACAAAAUGGGAGCUCGAUUAUGAGGAGAGCUCGAGAGAGAUGAGACCUGAGAGGUGAGGUCUCAUCAUGAGAGAUUAGGGAGGUCUUUGAUAUUGAGACCUCACCAUGAGAUAGUGGUGAGAGCAUUAGACUAUCAGACCAUGUCUGGAAUGAGUGAUUUGCCUUCAUAUUUAUAGGCUUACAAUGUAACUCCCAUUCCUAGCAUUUAAUGAGGUAAUGAUGAGAGAAUAUCUUUGUAAUAAUUGGCUUUAACUUUGUAACUUGUGCCAUCAAGAGAGAGUCCAUUAGAUGAUGACAUGUGGCACCAUGAUGGAUGGUAGAGAUGGUGCCACAUGUAUGUUGUAUAUAGUACCCCUACAAACACGUACCAUACACUCCAUUUGCUGGAUCAUAGACUUGUAAUGGUAAUGCAGUUGUUCGGAGGGGGCAAUAUCGACGCUCAUGACUAAACAUGAAGCACCUAGUACAGUAACAUGGAGGCUAUCAGUAUACUUUUCCUCUUGUGGAUGAGUUGAAUUCAUCUUCUUGUACCAAAGGUAAGUGGAUAUUGACCACAAUUCGAGCUAUAAAACCUUCUGCUACAGUUGGGCUAGUAUUCUUUGGUUCAAUAUAAACAACAACUCCCGCUCUUUUUGCCAUGAAAUCCGCUACCUUUGAGUCUAGAUGCUCUAAAAGUACUCCUUUGAAUUUAAUUGAAACCUCCACUGUAUUGAACGCUACAUCUUCUACCUCCUUAUCCCCAUUGAAAGGUUGCAUUAGGAUGAGGCAUCCUAGAGUUUGCAUGCGUUGCUUCUUUCAGAUCUUUGUUUGUUCAUCAUCUUUAACAAAUUUGCAGAUAAAUUUGUUUUAUGCUACUCUCACAUUAUCAAAUUCAGUAAUUUGAAAUUCUUCUUUCCAUUUCUUUCUGAUUUCUUUGAUAACAUGUUUUGGAUGAAGGUGAAUUCCCUUGAACAUGGAUAGGAGCAGAGUAUUCUCCUUUUUUUUACGGUUUUGUCGCAAGAGUUCUUCAGGAAUUUCAGUGUUGCCUUCUCAAACUUUUGUGUUUUGGAGUGCGACGGUGAUCUCUGAGAUGUCUUUGUCCAUUAGAAGGAGCAAUUUUGGGAUUUGAAUUUGGGUUUUUCUGAGUGUGUUGUGUUUGAGAGAUAUGAUAGUGAUGAUCCAAGUUUGGCUAGGUAACAAGUGUUUGGUUUGGUGACUGGGUGGGGUUUAGUAGAUUUUAGGGGUUCUGUAAGAUUUGUGUUUUAUUUUGUAUGUCAGAAGUGAUGGGUGUGAAAAGAUUUGUGAAAGAUGAAUUUAAAGUUCACAAAAAGAGAUACGAUUAAAGGGGGUUUUUGGAUCGUUUUAGAGGGAUUAAGGGGAUUUGAAGUGAUUGAUUUUGGAGGUGAGAUAAGGAUUAUAUUUCUUUACUUUUAAAUGGGGAUUUGCAUUUUAGAAAAGCUUGUAUAGAUAACGGAGGGAUGGAGAAUAACUGCAAUCUAGCUUCUGAAACGACGAUGCUGGUGGUGGUGAUAAGAUAGUCUGGGUGGUGAUGUGUCGGAGAAGCAACUUGGAUCUUUUCCUGAUCUUACACCUGUUGGGCCUAUGAAGAAUAAAAACAAACAAAAGAGUUAGUAGAUCAAGACUAGAUGAGAGAUUAAGGAUGAUUGAUGGUACAAAAAUAAAAUAAAAAUAAGAUAAUAGUUUAAAAAAGAAGAGGUGAGUAGAUAUGGGAUCUACUUAAGAAAGCUGGUAGAGCUGUUGUGCCAUGUUGAUGAUGGCUCUUUAAGCUGGUAGAGCUGUUGUGCCAUCUUGAUGAUGGCUCUUUUGAGAUACAUAUUAGAUGGAUGUGUAAGGAGCUUUGCAAAUCGUGUAGAUAUCAAAUUCGGCGGUAGAUGGAUUUCAGGACAACCUUUGAUUGGAUGUAACUUGUUCAAAUUUCCUAAAAAAAAACCUUUGAUGAUUCUAACUGUGCGUUAGCCUUGAAAACAUCUAACUAAAGAGAUCAAAAGAGUGAAGAUCAAUCAAAUUGGAUAGCGAACUGAGCUUGAAGGAAAAGUGUUAAUGAGGCGUUCUCAUAUUGUGGUUAAACUACCAAAUGAAAGUAGUUCAUAAAAGAACUUGAUUAGAAGUUUAGAACUUUAGAAUGAAUCAAAACAUGCAACUUUGUUGACUGUUUCCAAUCUGCCUAAUAGUGCUGACUGAUGUUAUAGAUGAACUUUGAUAUAUAUAUAUACUAGCAGGUGACCGUGCCUUCGGCACCUGUGGGUAGACCUCUUAGGGUUGUUGCGGGAUUGUAAAUUGUCUUAUUUGUUUUCCGGUUGAUAUGAGAAGAUAAGAAUGUUAUUAAUGGUAAAUCAUUUAGGGUUGUUGGUCUAUGGAUGUCGGUGGUUUUUUUGUUUGUUUGGUUCGGGUGAUUUUUCUGGAGUAGUUCAAAUUAUUAUUUAUUUCGAAAUUGUGUCAAUAUGUGCAAAUAUUACUAUAAGUGAUAUCAUUCAACCUUGUUUCGGUUUCAUGUUUGAUAGAAUCUCUUUUAUUGGAAUUUGGGGUGAUUUUGGUUUUGGUCACCAAUAGUUAGUACUAAUUAGGGUUCGGAGCUGGUUUUUAUUUUUAUUAGGUUUUGGCCAUCAACCGGGAACUGAACCAACCAAAAAACCUGGGUGAACCAAAAAUAUUUUUAUAAUACCUAAGUUACCCCUGAAAAAUCACGUGACAUGCACGUGAAUAACUUAAAAACGGAAAAUCAACUGAUAAGUAAUCACGUGACAUACACAUGAACAACUUAAAAACUUAAAAUCUGAUCAGAACUUAUGAGUCACGUGACCUACAUGUGAAAUAUUUAAACAGAUGACAGGUGUUUUAAUCUGGAGUGUUGAAGCAAAUCCAACGGCUAUAAAAAUAGAGCCGUUAUAGUAGCCGUUGGUCAUCUUCCCCACUGUAACCUGUAUAUAAAUAACAACUUCCAUUCCAAAACUAUGUACCUGCAACACAAAUUGCUGAUAGUCUAAAAAAUUUCUUCUCUUCUCACAAAUACUUUGCAAUUCAAGUAGUAAGCUAUGGGGGGAUGCAACCUAUGGCUUCUAAAAUAAAUACGAAUAACAACUUUUUUUCAUACCACAAGAUGAAUGCCAACUAUGUAGAUGUGAAGGGCACAUAGCUGAUGUGUGUCCACUACUAUAUACUUCAUGCAUUAUCCCAGGAUGUCAAGGCAUAAUGAAAAUGUAUACGACAUAUGAUGACGACAAAACUGAAAUGAAAUAUCUAAUGUGCCAGUAUGAUCUAUGUCCUGGGCAACUGCACCUUCCACCAACAACUACUCCAAAAUGGGAUUCCUACAAAUAUGAGGAUGAUGCAGCAAAAACAAAAGACUAAAGUGUGUAGUGUGUCGAAACUAAGAUGUAACAAAGUACUUUGUUUCCUAUUUUCUCUCAUUCUGUCCAAGCUAUGUAAUAUGUAUGGUCUAAAGUGUCGAGGGCAAUACAAUGUGACCUAUCUAGCUUCUAGUGUGCAAUGUGACCUAUCUAGCUUUUGGUUUUAAGUGUGCAAUGUACACCAAAUAUCAAAGAAUAAAUGAGCAAACAUCAUCUGAAACUGAAACAACAUUUCCAAGAUCCAAAACAACACACUAAAUUCAUUAAAAUUCGGGACCGCAAUAUAGUUAAGUUACAUGGAAUCCAAAAUAUAUUCCGAACACUCCAUUCUUCCCAAAAUAUUACAUGUCAGAGUGCUACAUAUAACUAACAUGUCAAAUAUUGUUCCCAAAACUAACUACAUGUUAAACUGCUAUUACUUAUCCAAUAUUUUCCAGACUCCCAAAAUAUUAUUCCCAUAAUACUGUGCAAUUUCCCAAAAUACUGCAGUCCCAAAAUACGAUAACAUUUUCAACCUAAAACUUACUUGUUCCAAUUGGACUUGCCUCCUCUCAUUUUAACUCCUCCACCUCUACCAGCUUGUUUCGAGCCAUCACCUUCACCUCUUUUGUUCGAGCCACCUGUACCUCUUGAGCUACGACCAACACCUCUACCUCUCUUGUUUGAGCCACCUAUACCUCCUCUUGAGCUUGAUGCACCACUAGCAUCACCAUUGCCUAAUAUCUCGUUCCUUUUAUACUUCUUCACUGCAAGUAACAAAACCAUUUAACCAUGUCAGAAUACUUACUUAACACACAAGAGUUGUAUUUUCAAUUAAUUUAAUUUACAACCAUUCAACUAUGUCAGAAUACUUACACUUCUUUUUAUAAACUUUUGUUGGAUCAUUUCUUGCAUCACAAGUUCUUCUAUUGUGCCCAACCUUUUUGCACUUACUACAUAUCAGUUUUGCCUUGGUUUUCGCUGGUUCAUCUUCACCCCCGAUUCUUUGAGUUUUGGGUCUACCUGGACCUUUUUCCCUUGGUGGGGGAAGGACCACCUUGUCAGGCUACAAAAAUAUUCAGACUGUCAGAUAUACAUACAUUGAUUUAAUUCCAAUCAAUCAAUACAGUUAACAAUACAUACAUUUCCCCAUUCUUCAACAUCAUUUAUAGGGACUAUAUAACCAUCAUAUGAUGCUUGAUAAGCACCAACAGUAAACCAAGGACUGCACCAUCUGUAAAAUCAAUAAAUAUAAACAACUUAUUACAAAAAAUUUCAAGAAAAAUAAAUCUUGUAAAAUAUUUAAGCCAAGAUUAAAUUUUACUUACUUAGCCCAUCCUUCUCUUCUUUCCCUCACAACAACAACAACAUGCACACAUGGCACUCCAGACAUCUGCCAUUCAUUGCAAGUACAAGUGUGCUUUGAAAUGUCCACUCUCCACUUCUUAUAACCAUCUCUGGUUUUCACAGAGAAAAGUUCCAAACUAAUACCUUGAACUGUAUACUUGAAAUACUUCUUUUCCAACUUCUUAAUAAGUUCAGCAACUCUAGGUACCAAUUCAUCACCAUAUAGUAAAUCCAUACUACAUAUUUUUCUGUCAUAAAAUUGCUUCGACAGCAUGUCUGUGUACUUAUCAAUUAACUUGACAAUAGUUAACUGCCUUACAUCCAACAUCCACUUGUUGAAACUUUCUGAAAAAUUAUUAUUACUAUACUCACACUUACUUGUUUUGUCAAAAAAACAUCUUGCCCAAGUUUGAACUGUCUCCUUCUCCAAAUACUCUUUAGCCUUGAUAUUCUCAUUCUUCAACAUUUCCAUAACCUUUUCGUGAUCAGUUUGCUUGAAUCUUUUGCUGCAGCCUAAGCAAGGUUCACCAAGUGCUCACCUUUGAAACCAUUGCUUUUGUAGUUGGAUAUCAUGUGCCUGAAGCAGAACCUGUGAUAAGCAUUAGGGAAUAUGUCAUGUACAGCCUUAACCAAACCUUUUUGUCUAUCUGAAAAAGGUCAAAUAGUCUGGAUUAUCACUGUCUAGAGUCCUUCUCUUCAAGUCUUUCUCUAACAACAACAAAACGUCAUACAACCUCUGAUAACACUCCCUUCUAGUGAUAUAGAUUGCAAGAGGAUACAGGCCAUUAUUUCCAUCUAAGCCAAUAGCACUAAGACACACUCCUUCAUACUUCCCCUUCAAGUGGCAGCCAUCAAGACCUACUAUUGGCCUACAUCCCUUGUUCCAUCCCUCCAAACAAGCCUUAUAAGCUACAAAGAACCCUUCAAAUUGGUUCAGUCCAUCAACAAAACACUUAACAAUUGAACCAAGAUUUGAUGUUUUUAUUUGCUUCACCAAUUCUGGACAUAAAGAAAAACUGUCUUCAUAACUUCCAUUUAUCUUUUCCUGCAUCAUAUUCCUAGCUACCCAUGCUGUCCAAUAGCUUAUAUCUGCACCAUACGAACUAUAUGUUUCAUCUUUGAUCUCUCCGGGAGUUGAGAAUGGAUGAGCUUUGAAAUAGUUUAGCAGCUUAACAGCAACCCAUGGAGCUUUAGCAUGCUUGUUCUUACUCUUCCCAAGACUAGCACAAGUGUGGACAUCAACAAAAGACUUGAGCAGAACAGUUGAGUCAUUGCCAUUUUUUUUCCUACAAAAAACCUUCCAACAGCAAGCAUCAUCUUUACACUUAAGCCUAUACCUCAAUGUGUCAUUACUCUUUUGGGCAUAGCCAAAAUGUUUUGUUAUAGCCAAAGUCUUGAAAUACUGCCUACAUUGUUUCAUAGUAGCCCAAGACAUACCUUCACUGAUAUCAGGAAUUUGAUCAUUUACUUCAAUGUCCCCCAGCUUCUCAUUGUCCUCAUCUUCAAAAACAUUAACUUGCUGUAAGUCUUGACUAUUCUUCAUUUCUGCUAAAACUUCAUCCUCUUCAUUAUCAACCAUCAUGUCACUGUCAGAAUCAGAUAAGUCAACCUCUUGUGGUUCAUAUUCUCCAUCCGUAGACAUAUACUCUUCUCCAUCAUCAUCGUCAACAGUAAUGCCAAACAAUGGCCCUGCAUGAUACUCUUCCUUAUCACUUAAUUCUUCAUCUAGCAACUCCUUCCUAGCAUUAUGUCUUAUUUCUCUAAGGUCCACAGACAACUCAAAAUCCCCACUACCAGAACAUUUUCACAGCUUACAUUACCAGUUUGUGACUCACAUUGUGGAACUGUUGAAGUUGGGAGUUGUAAAAACCUACGGACUGCUGGAUUUGUGAUUGAGAAAGGAAUUGACUCUGACCUUGAGACAGAAACUAACUCUCAGGUAGUUCACUACUAGCAUCCCAAGAACUCAGACUAUUAGGUGCAGCAAUAUUUGGUGGAGGGCAUGGGACAUUGGUUGCUGCAUUGUUUGCAAACCUAAAAGACCUUCGAGGUGAGACAAGCUUGUUGGACAUAGGAGUACUUAGUAAUUGACUUAAAGACUCUAGAUGAGAAAACCUAGGAGACCUUCUAGGUGAGACAACCUUGUCAGUGUUGGACUUCAGACUGUCAGACUCAACCCUGUCAGACUCAACCUCUUCAUUAACCUUGUCAGACCGAUCAUCAUCAAUAUCAAAAACUACUCUUUUUCCCUUAGGAUCAUCAUCAAUAUCAAAAACUACUCUUUUUCCCUUACGAUCAGCAGACUUGGUCUUAGAAACCUUAUUAGUCCUAGGAGACCUUCUCACUAGAUCUUGUGCCCCUCUUGCUACUGCAGGAACAAUUGUAGAAACAAACAUAUGAUACCUUUUAUCAGACAACCUUUUCAUUGACCACCACAUUUUCAUUAAAUGAGUAUCCGUAGACACUUGAAAUCUUUCACCACUUAAAAUAUAUGCAACAUACAAUUGUUUAUCAUCAAUAUGUGGACUACCAAUCAACUCCUUAAUGUCAUUGCUAAAGUCCAGCCACAUUAACUUAUCACCGUUAACCUUCCACAUAACACUCUUCCCACCUUUGUAAUCAGCCUUUUUCACAAACCCAGAUUUAACAAGCCCCCACAUUCCACCAUAAUGCAUAACAAUACUCCUCAUAUCAUCACCCAUUACACUGCAAAGAAAAUAAGGCAUGGACUUAGAACUAUUUCAAUAUAUCAAUGUACAUAAAAAAAGAUGGAAAAACAGAGUACAAUAUUUCAAACUUCGACGAAAAAACACCGAGCUCGUUUAAUUACAAAAAGAGUACAAUAUCAUAUCACUAUCAUCAUCACAUAUAUAAACGAAAGAAAGUACAAUAUCAUAUCAUGAUCAUCAUCACAAAUAUAAGUAAUUCAAUUGCAAGGAAAUAAAAAAAAAUAAAUAAAAAUGAUAUUGGAAACAGAGCCAACCUAAAUCAUCAAAAUAUUUCACAUCGUCAACAAAUAGAGUACAAAAUAAUAUUUUGAAAAAAAAUCUAACUGUUACUGUAUUUGAUCACAAAAAAAUAAAUUUUUUGUGAAAAUCUAACCAUUUCAAUAUAUCACAUAGCUGGGUAUACAAUGAAAUCAACCAUUACAAACCUAUAACAAACAAAGCUUCAACUUUUUUUCAAACAAAAUGACACAAAGGAAUUAUAAACCCUAAUUUGAGACAAAAAUUCAUUUUUUUAACCAAAUCACACACAAAUCUUUCCUUUUCAGCAACAUUCUAAUGUUUGAAAGAAAAACCCUAAAUUCUUUUAAACAAAAUAACCAAAAGCUUCAAUCUUUUUUGUCGAAAUUAAGAUCCAACAAAAAAAAAAUCAUCUUUUAAACAUGUAAACACAUUAUCACAUAGCCAAGCACAGAUAAACAACAAACCCCACAAAAAAAAAAAACAACCUUUUGUACAUAAAACACUUUAAUCGAAAAAAAAAAUUAAAUUUUUUUUUUGAUAAAAACCCCAACUUGAUAGAGAUUGAUGUGUGAGAGAUAUUAAUUUGAUAAAAAUAAUUGUACACAUACCUUGAACUUAAUCGAGCAAUUUCACAGUAAAUCAAGCACCAAAAAACAGAACUUCAACAAACCCCUUUUUGAACCAUGUGAGUGAAUGAACGAUUUGAGUUAAUUUAAUAAAAAUUUUGAGUUUUUUAUUGAACUUUUGGUUUGGAUGGUAAAAGAUUUGAUGUUGGAAAGUAACAGAACAAACAAACCCUUGUUUGCAGAGGAGAAGAGGAGAAGGUGAGAAGGUUCUAGAGAAAGAUAGAAGUGAGUUGGGCGGGAGUCGGGUGUUAGCCAACAAUUUUGCCGCACUUUUGCAUCGAGAUCUGUAUUUUAGUUUGAUGGAUGCACAGAUCUGAGCGAGGUAGAUCGAAUGGUCACAUGUGUGCAACGUGUCAUAACAAGCGUCCCGUUCUGAUACAAAUUGAGAACCCAAUAUUUGUGCAAUAUAACAAUAGUGAAGCAAACAAUAAAGCAGUAAACAAAUAAAGAACACACGAUAUUUUUAACGUGGUAAAACCCAAUAUGGGAAACGUCCACGGUUGUCCUUGCGACAACAAAUAAAUCCACUAGAUGAAAAGAGAUGUACAAACCUAUCAACUACCUGCACUCACUGCGAGUUGACACUUCAGGUUAUCUCUAACACCUUGACUUCACCAGAGCACCUUGAUGUACGCACAAGACACUCGACUUCUUGAUGAACACACAAGAAGACUCGAAGCCGAUCUAUGUAACAAGCUUACACCAGAGUUCUUUGAUGAACACACAAGGAUACUCGACUUCUUGAUGAACACACAAGAAGAGUCGAAGCUAAAUCACUAUUCAAUAAGGAAGAAGAAGAUGAAUGGGGAAGAAGAAGAUGAGUUCAAUCACCAAAACAACCUAAACCAAAACCUAAACAAACUCCAAAACUAGAGAUGAAUUGGACGGCCAAAGAACUAGUUUGUUCUUUGGUAGAAAACCCUAUAUAUAGUUAGGGUUUGAAACAAGAGAAAAUGGGCCGAAAUUGACAGAUUUUAUAUUGGACGUACGUACGUCGAAACAGCGUACGUACGUCCUGAGACGUAAAUAGUUCGCUGCCUACUUGGACGUACGAACGCCCUAACUAGGUACGUACGUCCAAAACACAAAAGUUUGUUGAUGCCUUACAAGACGUACGUACGCCCUAACUCGGUACGUACGUCCUAUACCAAACAUGACUUAGACAAACUUGACGCGAAGAGAAGGACUAGGGACGACGCGCGUACAACGAGGUUUUCCUAACAAUGAACUCAAGGCGAGAUAACCAUGGACAUCCAAUGUCACAAAAUUAAUGUCAAACAACCGAGUGCCGGUUUCAGUUCUCUCACCAUAACAUUGUGAACUUCAGCAUUUAAGCCACUUUAAAACAAAACUUAACAUUCGAAGCAUUUUGAUCGGAGUCUUUUGGACUUAAUUUUAUAGACAAUGGUUAGUUAAGAAUGCUUUGUGAUUGAAAGUUGUGGCUUGGAGAUAGAUGAAAAAUUUGAAAUGAAGGUCUGUGAGUUCCACUUACCUGACGAAUCCCAAAGUGCAAUCUUAAUUUGUCUUUUGAACUAGCAAUGUGCAUUAGUGCAUAAUCUGAACAGCUUUAUUAUGUACAUGAAUAAUCUGUUGAAGCCUAUCUUACAGAAACGGUUUUGCGAUCUUUAAGAUCAAUGCAUGAUGGAUAUUUGUUGCGAGAACUUUUGAAAAGAUGGAAGAAUCAUAAAGUUAAUGGUAAAGUGGAUGUCCUAAUAGGAUGCUGCCAUCGCAUACGUUAUAAUUACAAGCAUGAUUCUGAUCUCAGGUAUUCUUGUUGUUUGUGCUAAACUGCUAACUAUUUAUUUAACAAAGUUUAAUUGUUAUAAAUAUAUGUUUUACCAUUGAAAACUUGUUAUCUUAUAGGCUUUUACUAUUGCUUGUUAUAAAACUAGGUAUGACCCGUCCCUUCGGAACGCUUAUUUUUAAUUAUAUUUAAACUACUAAUUUUAUAUCCGCAUACAAAUCUAGAGGAUAAAAAUGGAAAAUUGAUAGUUAAAUUGAUUACAAUAGUUAAUUUAAAUUUAUUUUUAUACUUGUAUUGAGUAACUCAAUGAUAAUAAACACCAAACAAAAAAUUGUGAUUGGUCUAAUAUGAUUUGCAAAGUCCUCUAUAUGUACAUUAUAGAGAUAAUUAAACAUUUUUGUUACUGAAAAAUAAAUCCUAUCUUAUUAUUUAUUGUAGACAAAAAUAAAUUUUAACAGAGAUGAAAAUAAAGAACAUAUUAAAUUUUCAUAGCUUCAUCUUUAUGACUUUUGUCUUCUAAAUUGAUAUUUUCAAUUGCUUGCACGAAUCUUUUUUAUUAGUUUCACAUAUUUCAUUCUUUCUUGAAAAUAGUUGUUAGACCAUUUUUGGACUUCAUUUUUUUGUCAAGAAAAUCUUUGAGUUGAGCAUUUGACCCUAAACCAUAGCAUACGAUAUAUGUGGAUCACCUUCUUUUGAUCAUGAACCUAGCUUUACAUCAUUUGCAACGUCUUAUUGUGAUGUUUGCAUAGUCAUUUCAUUUUUUGGAUGCAUUUUAAAGGUUAUUUCCUAUUCCAUAAUUAAUGAAGGCAUGUGUAGGUGUUAUCUUUUUUGAAAAAUAUGCCUCUAAGUAUGGCUUGUACAACUGUUUGAUAGAAUAGUCCUCAUGUCAUAUUCCAUAUAUGAAGGUUGAUCAAUUUGAUCAAGCAACCAUCAUCACAUUGUACGAUAGAAUAGUCCUCAUGUCGUGGUUUAAUGAUCUAAAAGUUCGAAUAAGAAGAGGUUCAUGGAUAUCAUUCUUUGCAAGGUGUCAACCACCCUGUUGGAUUCCCUGUAUAUUUUCCAUUCCCACCUUCUGUAAUUUCCUAAACCAUGGCUAGAAGCCUAACUGAAAUUAUUGAGUUUCCCAUAAACUAUCUUCACAUUGCACUGAAAGUAUUUAUUUAAUCAUAUUCUAAUACAACUUUGUAGAGGUUGUAGAGGUUGCUCAUAUUCUAGUAUGGGCAAAAGUGAACUGGCUGACCUUUGUGCUUCAUUGUUUAUUAGCUUGAAAGAUUUCUUGGUGAAUCUGAUGGUUCAUUUAUCAUUCAGAAUAGUUGUUCUGUUGAUCUCAUAAGUUCCUUUGAAUUUCUAAAUAUCUGUUUUAUUACUUCCUGAUUUUGUGUGGCUGGAACAAAGAAGUUAGGGAAUUCAUUCAAUCAUUUGUAUAUAAAGAAAAAAUAUAUCUAACUAAUCAAUCAACAUUUACAACUGGUUUCUAUAUAUUAAAAAAAAAAAAAAAAAAAAAAUCAACAACAUUUACCAUUGGUGAAGACAUGAUUUUCAAAUUGAAACUUGGCUUUGUUAGGUGAUAAUCCAUAAUAGCUUUUCUUCGAUGGAAACAUUUAGUUCCACAAUAGUUUGGUCCUUGAUAUUUCCAACAAUUCAACACAAAAAAUAUUGUUGAAAAGUAAGUAAUUACAUUAGUGAUAGUCCUUGCUAUCACCUCAACACGCCAUUAUAUCAAUAAAACAAAAUUUGUUGUUUGCGAAAAUUUUGAUUUUUCUGGAAAUGUAUAGAUGAAAUUAAAACUAUUCACUUAUAAAUAAAAUUUGAAGCAUUGACAUAAAAGCAAAAACGAUAGUAUUAGGUUGAAAUCACUAAUAGAAUCGUUAGUCAAAUAUCAAAUUAAAAAUAGAAAUAUUAAUUAAUUGUAUAAAGCUCAUAUAGUCCAGGUUUAAGGAUGGGUUGUAUGUAUUAUUUGUAUAAUUGACUUUGGCUAUAGAUACUGAAAAUAAAAAUAAAAUUAAACACAAAAAAACUUGAAUUUCAAAUUUUUCUUUGUUGAAAAGGAGAAAAAAAAAAAACAAAGUGUUCAUUGAUGAAAAUAUGAGAGUAGAGAGGUGAUAGAGGUUUGAUGGUAAGCUAGAACCGAUUGAUAACAUGGAGAGAGAGACGUAUGAGACAGAUAGAGUUGUAUGAUAGAAUCUAUACUCUCUAUUAAAGUUAGGCAUGCCCUUAAACAAAUAUUCUCUCUCUAAAUUAUAGAAAAAUUGAUGCUCUAAUUGAAGAGAAUUUUAUUAAAAUUUAGAAUCGAAAGAUCAUUUUAGAAUUUUUACGCAAUAGUUAAUUAGUAACUCUAUUUAAGUAAUUUCACUCCAAAGUAAAUAUUGAAAGUUAACCAAUAUAAGAUAAACACUAAUUUCUAAACAUCAAAAGUUGAUCCAUAUGAAAAAACUAAUGCUUUAAUUGAAGAGAAUUUUGUUAAACCAAAAUUAAAAAUUUAUUUAUUAAAAUCACAUAACUAAAAUUUAUCUAAAAUAUGUUCAAAUAUCAAAAGAAGUAAACACUAUAACUUGGUUAAAUCAAUAUGUUUACAAACCAAAUCAAUUGAACAUCUUAUCCAAAAUAUUGGUAUUUUGUCAAAAGUUAAAAUUAAAUCUUUUGUUGAAAAAAAUAAAAAUAUAGUAACAUAAGCAAAAUAAUGUCAAGAAUUUGGAUUGUGAGCUUGGAGAUAUAAUUUACACUCCAAAUUAAAAACGUUAAUUUAUAUUAUUUAAAUUGUUAAGAAAAAUAUAUAGGUAAACAAAUACAUUAAAUAAAUUCUCAAAAAAUAUUAUAAAAUGAUAGUAAUUUAUUAUUAUUAUUAUUAUUAUUAUUAUUAUUAUUAUUAUUAUUAUUAUUAUUAUUAUUAUUAUUAUUUCACAUUACAUCUUUGAUGACUACACAAAAAAUGAGAGUACAAUUUAAAUUAGUUUGAUCUAAAACUUAAAAAUAAAACCUUUAAAUCAGGACCACAAUAAUUUUAUGGAGGAAUUAGAAAAUAAAUAUACAUAUACAUAAUAAAAUUCUAUUCUAUAAAAUAAUAUGUAAAAAUCAAAAUCAAAUUGUAACAUGUAAAUCUUACAUAUAAAAUAACACCCGUGCGUUACACGGGUUAAAUAACCAAAUCUCUAGAAUCUCAUUAAAUCCCAAUCUCUAUAAUCUCUUUUGCAAAUCUUGACCAUCCUUUGUCUCUUUACCAAGUUUUAUAAGUGCCGGUUAUAAUAUAGAUACAUCAAUUUUCGAACACAUUGUUAUUUGUGUUUUCUUCAAAAGAAAAACAAGUUUGUGACAUUAGAGAGAUUGAGGGCUAAAGUUUUGUUGAUGUGGUUUCAGAUAGGGGUGGCAAAUGGGUCGUGUCGGGUCGUAUUUGUGUCGGGUCUAUAUCGGGUCGCGGGUUAUAAUAGGUCUACACGAGAAUGACACGGUUGUUAAACAGGUCAACUCAGGUCAACCCGAGCACGACCCUUUAUCCAACGGGUUACACGAUCUGGACACAGUUGACACGCACGCCUUUCUUCUUGUCUUCUCUUCCCUCUCAACCAUUUAAGUUGAAGUGUUAAACUAAACCCAAAACAGAAAUAGCUUUACUUAAAUUGAAAAUCGUCUUAAUUAAUCCUUCUAUAACUUGGAUUAAUCUUAAAUAACAGCUUCAAUUUUCUUCUUUCAUCAUCAUCAAUGUGUAGAAUAAAGCUAAGGAUAAAUAAGCUUGCUGCUAUAAGACUUCACACGAAAGAAAGACUCGAAACACUCUAAUUUGAUUUAUUGAUAAACUGUACGAAGUACACAACUUAAAUAGAAAACAAACUUGAUCUGCAAGUACCCACAACUCUACUUAGCAGAUUUUGUGGAACACUCCCACAACUCACUAACUGAAAACAAACAUGGAUAACACACUAACCAUGACUCCUAUAGACUAGGGACUCUCCAGUUGACUAGGUAAUACUAGAUAACUAUCUACAGCCCACUAAAUAACAUACUAAAUAAUAAAUCUUAACACCCUCCCUUAAACUGAUGUCUGCAGAAAAUAGUUUAAGAACAUCAUCUUCCAAGCCCCCUCCCUUAAACAACACUCUGCGAAGAACAAACCCCAAGUAUGCUUCUGAGCUUCUCGAACACUGGUUGUUUGAGAGGUUUCGUCAUGAUAUCAACAGCUUGAUCUUCACUCUUACAGAACUUCAACUCAAUCACUCCAUCUUUGCAUAGAUCACGCAAAAAAUGGAAUCUAACAUCAAUGUGUUUACUUCUUCCGUGCAAAACUGGAUUCUUUGAAAGCUUGAUCGCUGAAAUAUUGUCACAAUAAAUUAUCGUAGAAUUGCGCUGCUGAUUUCCAAUAACUUCUAGCAUUCUUCUCAACCAAAUAGCUUGACAGGAACAAGUAGCGGCGGCUACAAAUUCAGCUUCAGUAGUGGAUAAUGUAACAAUGUUUUGCUUCUUUGAGGACCACGAAACUGCACCUGAACUCAUCAAAAAUAUAUUACCAGAGGUGCUUUUACGAUCAUCAAUAUCACCUGCAUAAUCACUAUCAGAAAACCCAUGGAAACUUGACUUUUUCCCUUUCUUAUAAAGGAUCCCAAAAUCAGUUGUACCCUUCAAGUAACGAAAAAAUCUUUUUGCUGCCCUGAGAUGCAUCUCAGUAGGAUUCUCCAUAUAUCGACUCAAGACACUUACAGAAUGCAUGAUAUCAGGCCGUGUUGAAGUUAAAUACAUCAGACUUCCAACUAUCUGCUUGAAAUGAGUGUUAUCAACUUGCUCACCAUCAGGAUCUUUGCUUAGCUUCAACCCCGUUUCAGAUGGUGUUCCGACAGGAUUGCAACACAACAUCUGAAAUCUUUCUAACACGUCCAGAACAUAUUUCUUUUGAGAAAUAAAAAUACCAACUCCUGAUUGUAUCACUUCUAUGCCAAGAAAAUAGUGCAUCAAACCCAAAUCACUCAUAUCAAACUCAUUCAUCAUUGAACUUUUAAAGUAUUCAAACAUAUGAGCAUCACUUCCAGUAUAGAUGAGAUCAUCAACAUAAAGACAUACAAUGAGCAUUUUACCUUCAUCACCAACCUUAACAUACAAAGUAUGUUCGUACGGGCAUUUCUGGAAGCCUUGCUUGACAAAGUAUGCAUCUAUGCGACUGUACCAAGCUCGUGGUGCUUGUUUCAGCCCAUAGAGUGCCUUCUUCAAUCUAAGAACUUUUUUUUCUUGUCCUUGCUGCACAUAACCUGGAGGCUGAUCUACAAACACUUGUUCUUGCAAUUCACCAUGUAAAAAAGCAGAUUUCACAUCUAAUUGAUAAAUAGGCCAAGAAUUUUGAGCAGCUAGAGAGAUUACCAAACGAAUUGUGUCUUGCCUUGCAACUGGAGCAAACACCUCUUUGUAAUCGACACCAUAUUCUUGCUUGUAUCCCUUUGCCACCAAACGAGCCUUGUGUUUGUCAACCUCGCCUUUCUGAUUUAAUUUGGUUUUAAAAACCCACUUCACACCAAUUGUUUUUUUACCCUUAGGCAGAUCAGUAAGCUCCCAUGUAUCAUUUUUCUCAAUGGACUUAAUUUCUGCGUCCAUUGCCUUCUGCCAUUUUGUGUCCUCAACUGCUUCUUUGAAAGUGAGAGGAAUAGAAUCUGCAAAUAAAGCAUAAUGAGCGAUAACAUCAUCAUCAGAGAGUUCAUCUCCACUUACAUAAUCAAUCAUCCAUGCUGGUCGCUUCCUUAGACGAUGAUUUUCUGGAGAUUGAUCAUUUGUAGGUGGCAUUUCGUCAUCGAAUUGCUGUUGCAUUUCAAUGUCGUCGCCAACUGAAAAUUUCUGCUGUUGCUUGCUGUUUUCAGACCAAUCCCACACCUCAUCUUCAUUAAAAACAACAUCUCUGCUGGUAACUAUCUUCUCUGUAGUUGGGUUGAACAAUUUAUAAGCUUUGGAAUGUUCGCUGACUCCAAGAAAGACACACUUCUCACUCUUGUCAUCGAGCUUCUUCCUUUUUUCAUCUGGAAUGCGUGCAUAUGCUAUGCAACCAAACACCUUAAAGUGAUCCACUGCUGGUUUCUUUCUACUCCAAGCUUCCUCCGGUGUCAUGUUUUUAACAGAAAAUGUAGGACAUCUGUUUAAAACAUGAAUGGACCACAAAACUGCUUCAGGCCAGAAACGUUUGGGAACUCCUCCUUUGACCAGCAAACUUCUAACCAUACUGAGGACGGUUCGAUUCUUUCUCUCGGAUACACCAUUUUGCUGAGGUGUAUAGGAAGUUGUGAGUUGUCUUCGAAUGCCUUGCUCAUCACAAAAAACUUCAAACUCCUUUGAACAAUACUCACCACCACGAUCUGUUCGAAGAGUCUUAAUCUUUCUUCCCGUUUCAUUUUCAACGAGUGCCUUGAAGCUUUUAAAUGCAUCGAAAGCUUCUGAUUUUUCCUGCAAGAAAUGCACCCAUGCUUUUCUACUAAAAUCAUCGAUAAAUGAAACAAAAUACUUCUUGUUACCAUUUGAUAUUGGAUUGAGUGGCCCACAUAUAUCUGAAUGCACCAAGUCCAACAAAUUUUGAGCUCUCAACGCCUUUCCCUUUGGAAAUUGAUCUCGGUGUUGCUUUCCAACUACACACUCUUCACAAACUUUGGAUGGGGGUGUGAUCAUGGGCAGUCCAGACACCAUACGCUUCUGAUAAAGUGUCCUCAAGCCAUUGAAAUUCAAGUGACCAUAACGAAAGUGCCACAACCAUGAAUCAUCUUCCUUAGCCAUCAAACAAGCAUGGACAGUCUUGAUAUUCAGCGGAAACAAUCUGUUUGAUGACAUUUGAACGACAGCAAUGGCACCCCUCACUGGAUCAUAUAUUUCACAUACACCUUUCUGCAAAGUUAUAAUAUAACCCUUCUCUUGCAAUUGUCCAACACUCAACAAGUUAGUACUCAAAGAAGGAACAUAAAAUACAUUCGAAAUUGUUUCAACAAAAUCAUUUUUAGUCCUAACUUGAAUAUCACCCUUUCCCAUCACAUUAACUUUUGAGUGAUCACCAAAACAAAUAGUAGUAUGAAAAUCUUCAUUUAAAUUAGUAAAAGAUGACUUACUACUGCUCAUAUGAUUGCUGGCUCCUGUGUCUACAUACCAUACUUCAGACUCGGUUCCAUAGCAUGGAAUGCCAUCAAAAGUGUCUCUUCUUCCUUGCUUUCAGCAAAAUUUGACUUCUCUCCUUUCUCCUUUUCUUUUGGCAUCUUUGUGUAGCAUUCAUUGCGAUAAUGCCCAUAAUUGCCGCAUCUGUAACACUCAAUGUUGGACUUGUCGGUUGUUCCUUUUGCGCGAUAUUGAGAGUAAGCAUCAUCUCUCUUAGAAUUUUGGUGUCUGCCUCUAUCUCGAUUACCACGACCACCUCUUCCUCUCCAUUGACCUCUACCUCGGCCUCUUCCUCUUGAGGAUUCAGCAAAGGUAGAAGCUUUCAAAGCUUGUUCUUCUGUACUGCCACGUUCUGUGAUGCCACGAUUCAAUUUUUGUUCAUGAACCACCAAAGAACUUUCUAGCUCAUCAAUCGACAUCUCCUCUGUGUUGUUUGACUCCUCAAUAGAGCAAACAAUAUAGUUAAACUUUGGAGCCAUAGAUCGCAUAAUCUUCUCUACAAUAGCACCGUCUUCGAGCAUAUCACCAUGAAUUCGCAUUUUGUUUGCAAUCCCCAUGGUUCUUGCAAAGUAGUCGUUGACAGACUCUCCAUUUUUCAUUUGAAGAGUCUCAAAGUCUCUCCGUAGUGUCUGAAGCUGUGCGCGCUUCACUCUUGCUGACCCUUGGUAUUUUUUUUUCAAAGAGUCCCAAAUGUUCUUUGAAGUAUCCUUCUGCAGUAUAGUCUCCAAAAUUGCACGAUCAAUUGCUUGAAAGAGAUAAUUUUUCACUUUCAAAUCUUUCAAUUUUUGUUCAUCAAGCCUCUUUUGUUGUUGGGCUGUCACACCAGCUCCUUCUUCUGGUACAUCAAAUCCCCUCUCCACAAGAUCCCAAUACUCUUUGGACCUUAGGAAAUUCUCCAUCAACGUGCUCCAAUGAUCGUAAUGACCAUCAAAGCGAGGAAUGGCUGGCUGGAGAAAAUUCUCUGCUGAUUUCUCUGGUGCCAUGGAUGCUUGCUACUGCAAGAACAAAAGCUACUGCUACUGGUGGGAUUAUUGACUCAGACUCAAACCUUGCGCUGAUACCAGAUGUAGAAUAAAGCUAAGGAUAAAUAAGCUUGCUGCUAUAAGACUUCACACGAGAGAAAGACUCGAAACACUCUAAUUUGAUUUAUUGAUAAACUGUACGAAGUACACAACUUAAAUAGAAAACAAACUUGAUCUGCAAGUACCCACAACUCUACUUAGCAGAUUUUGUGGAACACUCCCACAACUCACUAACUGAAAACAAACAUGGAUAACACACUAACCAUGACUCCUAUAGACUAGGGACUCUCCAGUUGACUAGGUAAUACUAGAUAACUAUCUACAGCCCACUAAAUAACAUACUAAAUAAUAAAUCUUAACACAAUGAAGAAUUCAAAUUCAAAUCAAGGUACUUGUUCAAAAACCAAUGAUCUUGCUGGUGCACUUUCACCUUACGAGAAAACAAUUUCACAAAAUCUUCGUUUAAAUCACAAUCACUUCAAUACACUUUUUUUUUUUUUUUUUUUUUUUUUGUAAAUUAUCACUUCAAUACACUUCUUUAUCCUUGUGCUGCACUGCUGCUAAAGGUGAUGGAUGGGGAUUUUGCUUUUAAGUUGGUGAAGAGUAUGAGUAUGGGGAAGUAGAAGAAUGACCGAAUGAGUAUGGUAAAAGUUUAAUUUUUAGAUCCAAUUUCUUAUGGGAGAGAUUUGUUUGUUCAAACACGAUAUGACACGACUGGGUUUACACGACACAACCCAUUUGUUGAGUGGGUGAAAGCAGGUCGACCCAUUAAUAGCACGGACCAGAUAACAGGUCAACCCGAACACAUUAAAUAACGGGUCGUGUUCGGGUCAGUUUUGCGGGUCGUGUCAAAAACUGCCACCCCUAGUUUCAGAUAUAGAGUUUUUUGUUACUUGUGCAAGUUCACAUCCUAAUGUUUACAGCCGUAGGUUAGUUUUAUGAUGGAUGGCUAAGAUAACACCACAUCUUGAAUUGGGGGGUGCCUCAAUUUUUUUUUUCAAAUGAGGGUAUCUCAAAUUUGGACUUUCAAAUGGGUAUGUCUAAGAAUCUCAUUUCUAAAAUUACCACAAAAUCAAACAAUAUAUAUAUAUAUAUAUAUUUUUUUUUUUUUGGUGAAAAAAAAAUUAAACAAUAUUAAUAAAUAUAUAUCAUCAUUUACAUUCUUCAACCUUCUAGACACAUAAAUCCAGUUAAAUUCCAAGGAGUGCGACUCAAAGCCCAAUCAAAACCAUGGAUCUUAGCUCUCUUGCUCAUCUUGGGACUUCUUGAUCUUUUUGAGGAUGGUGAUGAAGAAUCAUCAAAAGAAGAAACUGAUUCCGAAUACGAUGAAGAGUUUGAAUCUCGGUGUGAAUAUACAAACUCCAUAUCAGAGCUCCAAAACUCUAAAUUUUCGACCUGACACAACCCACUAGUAUCCAUUUCAAUUUGAUUAUCUUUGCUUCGCUGAAUUUUCUUGCUCUUCUUCCAAAACCAGAUUAAUUGUUGACCUCCUAGAUGUUUUCUUCUUCACACUAUUACUGCAUGGCUGAUUAAUGAACAUGGUGUGUGCAUGUGCAGCUGGUGGGGGACUAAGUGAGGGUAUAGAUCAAUCGACAUGCGGAUUAAUGGGUGUACCAGGUUGAGUUUCCUAUUUGAAAGGUACACCAUCAGCUUCCCUAUGAAAUAUAUGAGAAGAAAAACCCCUUUGAAGUAUCUCUAGAAAGAAGUUUGUUAAGGAAAAGCUCAUCCCCUUGAAGCAAAGAAGCAGUGUCAAGAACUCUUUUGGGUCGAGUUAUCCAAGUUUGCCAGUUGCAGACUAAGAUCUUUGCAAUCCAUUUUUGUCAGAGAGAGUAAACCGUGUAUCAAUGGUUUUAAGAACUUUGAUCGAGUUGAUUGUUGUAGUUAUUGUUGAUGAUGAAAGUGUAUGUUAGAAAGUGUUGUGUAUAUAUUGAGUUUGAGAAAGGCCAUGUUUGAAGGCCAAGUUAAUGGUAAAGUGGACUUUGGCCAGUUAUUUCCGAACAAGGUUAAAUUCCAGUAAUACCCUUUAAAAAUGAUACUGUACAAUAUAAAAUACUCUACUAGUACUCUUCCCGGCGCAUAAUAGCAACGACUUUUUCUUUCGAUUUGAAAAGGCACCUUCGAACAAUGGCUUCUACCGAGCAGAGUCCAAUCUCAGAGUAAGAUUUCACUACGCUUACAAGUUAAUAAUAAUGACAAUCUCUCUCUCUCUCUCUCUCUGUCUCUCUCUCUCUCUCUCUCUCUCUCUAUUGUGUUUCUUCUAUUGUGUUUGUCAUAGAGAUUUUGAACUCUUUUCACGCAUUUACAUAGCCGGGUUCGUUCGGACUCAGGUGAUGAAUAUGAUCGAAACUGUGUAUACCUAUUCACACAACUCGUCGUGAACCCAAUUCUAUUUGACCUUACUCGACGUAACACUACUUUUACUCGAGCUCACUUUGUGAAUUCUAUUCGACCUUACUCGACGUAACACUACUUUUACUCGAGCUCACUUCGUGACCACAAAUACAAAUCCAAUUCGACCUUAAAAGGCCUUCAUUCGGCAUAAGCCUAUUUUUAUCCGAGCUCACCCGACGUGGAACUACUGUCAUUCGACCUACAUCGUCUUUAUUCAAACACUAUACGUUUUGAUCCUCUUCAGUUACAAUAUAUUUUCAGAUCCAAAAUAUCCGCCCAUUAAUUGACCACAUCGUUGGGCAAUUAAUGAGCUAUCCGUUGUCCCAAUCACCUAUAUAUAUGAACUACGUGGGCUUGAUUCUGGGACUUGGUCACUCUCAGAUACGUAGGCAGCUAUCUAAAUCAGAUAGUUCAGCCACUUUCAUAACUUCAUCUCCUCCUCCUCAAUUUUCCGAUCAUCUUCUCCGACCUGCCUAAACCCAAAUUUACUUACAUUUACAUUGGAGCCGACUGAUUCGUGAACGAAUAAUAACCUGACAACCGACCAUGGCAACAAUCACUAAUGAGCAGUUUGAGCAACUCCAGAAGCAAAUGGCCGACCCACAAGAGCAGAUCAACAGACUGGUGGCUGAAAACAUCCACCUUAAGAGCACCGCCACCACCACUAAUGGCACACCGCUCAACGGAGUUGCUACCAAUAUGCUCAACACUGAAGAAGUCACAACAACCGUCAACAACCCUGCCCUACCCACCUCCAGUAAUACCACCGCUCCAACCAUGGCUGAUCUUCAAGCUGCUCAUGACAGAAUCCUCCAACUGUCAGACAAACUCGACAAGAAUCACCAAGACUCACUCAAGGCCAAUACAGCACAGAAGGUAGCAUCAACAACCCUUGAACGUUACAAAAUCGAACCUCUUCAUGAUGACCUACUACAACAGGAACCACCACCAAACUUCAUACCUCCAAAGUUCACCACUUACGACGGAAGUGGAGACCCAAUGGACCACGUCCUACAGUUCAAGACAAGCAUGGCCCUAUGGCCAAAGUACAAGGAUAUUCUCUGCCGAUUGUUUUCUGCAUCACUCCGUGGGAGUGCAAUAGAUUGGUAUCAUCGACUGGCAGAAAGGUCCAUUACCUCGUAUGACCAACUGGAGUCACUUUUUGUCACCCAAUAUAUCCACAACAAGAGGAGAAGAAUCGAGGUUACUGCCCUUUUUCGUAUCAAGCAGGACGAAACUGAGACAACAAAGAAAUUUAUGUCAAGAUUCAAAAAGGAAUGCCUGCGAGCCGAGAAUCCGAAUGAAUAUUCAUGUCUCUUGGCCUUCAUCUCUGCUGUCAACCCCAAUACGGCACUAGGAAAGAAUAUUAUCCUAGACGCCCCUGCAACACUGGAAGACUUGUAUGUACGCGCUGACAAGUAUAUCAAACUGGAAGAAGCCCUCACAAAAUCCAAAGAACGAGUGGCUGUUGUCCAAACAACAGAGUUCACUUACUCCAAACCAAAGACGAAUCGAUCGGAAUACAAAGGAAAGGCCACAUCCACUGUCAAAUCCAAAUUCCCAAAUCCCUUCAAGUGCUCAUACAAUCAACUCUUUGACCUCAUCAAAGAUGAGGAUUACUUCCAGCCUCAAGUUCACGACCUCGAACCAAUUGAAGGAAAACCGUACUGUAAGUUACAUAAGUGUCGCCACCAUCUUACUGAAGAUUGCCGUAUUCUACGAGCUUACUGUCACAAGCUUAAGGAGGAGGGUCACCUCGAUGACUUCCUCUUCGAAAAUGAGCCCGACCUCCGCAACAAACUAGAGGCCAAACGACAAAAGACUUCAACAGAGAAAGGUAAAAAGCCUAAAGGAACCAUCAAUAUGAUCAUGGAUGCUCGACCUCCCGAAUGGUCAGCUCAUUCUAAGAAGCAGAAGAUUCAUCACAUCCACCAUACCUUCCACUUGACUCACAAAGCGAUUAUGGCUAAACAAGUCACAGGUACCAAUGCUCUGGUCUUCUCUGACUUCGACCUCAAAAAAGUAUGUCUCCCUCACAACGACGCAUUGGUCGUCCAUAUCAACAUUGGGGGAUGGAUAAUGAAAAAAAUGCUUAUCGACCCCGGAGGUUCUUGUGACGUAAUAUUUAACAAGGCAUACAAUCAGAUGCAAAUGCCCGACUCGGUCCUCCAAAAACCGCAAGUCACCCUUUUUGCAUUUAACUCGACCGAAACUGAGGCAAAAGGUGAAAUUUGCCUUCCUGUGGCAACUGGUGAAAAUGAAGACGAAGUGACUGUGUAUUGCACCUUUUUCGUCGUUGAUGUCCCUGCUCAGUUCAAUGCAAUUCUCGGACGAAAAUGGAUUCAUAAAAUGAAAGCAAUACCAUCGACAUAUCACCAGGUCAUCAAAUUUCCUGGCCCCAGAGGCAUCAUGGAAUUACGAGGUGACCAGAUCGAAGCACAUGGAUGCCAUGCCAUACCCGAGGUCAUCCCACUCCCUAAUAAAGUGGAUACCCCCAUAACAGUGGCGAGCUCAUCUAAGCCCACUGUCAAUAUGAUCUCUGCAAUCUGCAAUACAGUCGAAGAAUCUACUCAACCCACUGGGGAUGAGAUCUCACAAGCUCAAAACGGCAAGGAAAUUGUUCAUCCAUCUGACCCACCUGUCAUUGAACAAGGUGAAAAGGUCAACAUAGGAUCGGAUGACGAUCCAAAAUAUGUCUAUGUCGGGGCUAACUUGGACCCCAUUGUAAAACAACAACUUAUUGCUACUCUCAAAAUGAAUAAAAAUGUUUUCGCUUUUGCUUAUACCGACAUGCCAGGGAUCAAUCCCACUAUUGCUUGUCACAGGUUAAAUGUAGAUACCAACAAAAAGGUUGUGAAACAAAAAACUCGCAAACUAGCAGCUCAUCUCGCCAAUGCAGUUAAUUCAGAGAUACAAAAGUUAAAAGAUGCAAAAUUCAUUCGUGAGGUCGCAUACCCUGACUGGCUCUCUAAUAUUGUCGCAGUCAUAAAACCUAACGGUAAAGUCAGAGUAUGUAUCGACUUCACGGACCUUAACAAAGCUUGCCCAAAAGAUAGCUUUCCUCUCCCUCGAAUAGAUAAGCUCGUUGACUCAACAGCAAGUCACGAACUCAUUUCCUUAAUGGAUGGCUAUUCAGGAUACAAUCAAAUAAAACUAGCAGACGAAGAUCAAGAGAAAACUGCGUUCAUCACUGAGCAAGGUACCUUUUGUUACACAGUCAUGCCAUUUGGACUAAGAAAUGCAGGAGCCACGUAUCAGCAACUUGCAACCAAAAUGUUCCACGAUAUGAUUGGUAACACAAUGGAAGUUUACGUAGAUGAUAUGAUUGUCAAAAGUAAACACAAAGCUACCCAUGUCACCGACCUCGAAAAAACAUUCCUCGGCCUUCAUGAGUACAACAUGAAACUCAACCCGGAAAAAUGUUUGUUCGGCGUCGCAUCUGGAAAAUUCUUGGGUUACCUCAUCACACAAAGGGGUAUCGAAGCCAACCCAGAAAAAAUCAAAGCUAUACUUGAGAUGCCGAGCCCAAAAACCAAGAAACAAAUUCAAAAGCUUAAACGGCAUGAUAGCAGCCUUAAACAGGUUCAUAGCCCGGGCAUCAGACAAACAACGCUCACUACUUCAACUACUAAAGAAAGGGUCAACUUAUAACUGGACACCUGAAUGCCAGCAAGCAUUCGACGAACUCAAGUUAUACUUGGCUACUCCACCAGUUAUCACGGUACCCCAAGACGGCGACGUACUGGGGCUCUACCUCGGCACGUCAGAACAUGCAAUUAGUGGAGUAUUGUUCCGAGACGAACGAGGUAUAGAAAGACCAAUAUACUUCAUCAGUAAGACAUUGCUGUCUUCCGAAGCUCGGUAUUCAAGCCUCGAGAAGGUAGGUUUAGCUUUACUCUUCGCCUCACGAAAGUUGAAGCUCUACUUCCAAUCACACAAAAUAAGAGUCAUCACAGAUGCACCUCUUCGGCAAGUACUGGAAAACAGAAACAAAUCUACACGAAUGGUAAAAUGGGCCCAAGAACUCGGAGACCACGAGCUCAUUUUCACUCCGCGAAGUAGCAGAAAAGGGCAAAUCGUGGCCGACCUCCUGGUCGAUUACGCCAUCGACGACAACUCAUGGAUACCCGAUAACGAGGUCAUUGACCAACCAAUAACAAAGACUCCAAUAUGGAAACUCUACGUCGAUGGCUCCAAAAACUUCAAUGGCUCAGGAGUGGGAGCCACACUAAUCUCACCGGACGACGCCAUCAUAGAAAAGUCAGUCCGAUUAAAUUUCACCUCAAGCAACAAUGAUACAGAAUACGAGGCACUCCUCACUGGCAUACAAAUAGCCAUAACUUUACAGGUAAAAGAAUUGCGAAUCCUAAGUGACCCACAAUUGGUAGUUAGCCAAAUCCUCGGCGACUACGAAACAAGGGAAAAGACCCUGAAGCCAUACUUGGAGCAUACCAAAAAAUUAUUAAGUUACUUCAACAAAUGGGAAAUUCAACAUGUCCCAAGAGAUGACAACCGCCAUGCCGAUAGCUUGGCAUAUCUAGCCUCACAAAUCGACACCGAGUCACCUCGAACAAUACAAAUUGACAUACAGUCAGCUCCGGCAUAUGAGGCACAGAUACAUCAGGUAAACGAAGUUUCAGACUUCAUAGACAUCCCACCAAGUGAUAUAGAAAAUUCGUGGAUGGGACCAAUCAUCAAUUACUUAAAGGGAACAUACCCAGAUGAUGAUUUCGAACUACGUAAACUCGAACGAAAAGCUAAAAGCUACAUCUUACUCGACAAAAGACUCUACCAAAAGUCAACUCGAGGGCCAUAUCUGCUGUGCCUCCCACUAAAACAAGCGCACACAAUUCUCGCUGAGAUCCACCAUGGAGAAUGUGGAAACCAUGCGGGGGCUAGGUCUUUAGCCCAAAAAGCAAGAAAUCAAGGUUACUUUUGGCCAUACAUGCAGUCAGACUCAGACAAAUUCGUCCAACACUGUGACAAGUACCAAAGAUUUGCACCAUUAAUUCACCAGCCAACUCGAGAACUCAAGACAAUCUCAAGCCCAUGGCCUUUUGCAAUUUGGGGGCUCGAUAUUGUGGGCCCUAUCUUGAAAGAUAAAUCCAAAAAACGAUUCUUACUUGUGGCAACCGACUACUUCACUAAAUGGGUCGAAGCAAUACCCCUACCGCGCAUACGCCAACAAGAUGUUAAAAACUUCAUCUGGAAAUUCAUUAUCACCCGAUUCGGACUACCACAUACUCUAGUCACCGACAAUGGUCAACAAUUCUGUGGAACUGUAAUCGAGGAAUUCUACCUCGAUUGGAGAAUCAACCACGCACUCUCAACACCUCGCUACGCUCAAAGCAACGGUCAGGCUGAAGCCACCAACAAGACCAUCAUGAAUAAUCUGAAGAAAAAACUUGAAGCACACAAAGAGAAAUGGAUAGAGGAACUCGAUAAGGUACUAUGGGCUUACAGAACGACACCGCGCACAUCUACAGGAAUGUCCCCAUUUGCCUUGUGUUAUGGCACAGAAGCUAUCAUACCAACUGAGCUAAACUUCCUCACUACUCGAUCUGAGCUCGUACAAUCCAAGGAAAAUGAAGAUUUAUGGGCCCACGAGGUCGACAUGCUCGAAGAAAAACGAAACCAAACCAUAAUUACCACUGCUCGUUACCAACAAGUUUUAAAAAGGAGCUAUAACCAAAAGGUCCGAUCAAGGGAAUUUCAAAGUGAAGACCUCGUCCUCAGACAAGUGUUUUCCAAUACUAAGAAGCCUGGACGGAAAGCUAAAUCCUAAUGGGGAAGGACCAUACAUUAUCAAAAACAACUUAGGAAAUGGCGCAUACACACUCAUUGAUGCCGAAGGGGAACAUGUGCCUCGACCUUGGAACUCCAAAUUUCUAAAAAUCUAUCUACCCUGAUGACCUUCAAGGGUUGACAUCUUUCAUUUCCUCACAGCAAGGUUAAGCCAUAAAACCACAAGGGAUUUAUACUACAAAACAAUCUAUUUUGAGCUACAUUGAACAACAAAUUGUAAUGGCAGCCAAGCAUUUUCCAUUCAGCAUACACUUCUUCAAAGGUAAAGUCAAAAUAGUUGGAUUACAAAAUAUAACGGACGUAGGGCCAACCGAAGUCGGAAUUCCCUACUUAUGUUUUCAAACACCAAAAGAAACCUCACCACUCUCAACAGAAUUACAAAUGAAACAAUAACUAUCAAGUUUGCUCCUCAGGGAGAUCUUGGGUCGCUGCACCAGCAUUCUCUUCAGCUCGGGGAGAGGGUUCCUUGUCAGCCUCCACAUUCGAAGGAGCAGCUUCGGCGUUAUUCUCCUCUUCCAUGUCGUGACGAAAAUGCUCAAGAGCGAAAACUUUGAUGGCCUCCCUAUCUGCAGAGGCAUCAAAGUUUUCUACCAAUGACGCAAGCUGAGACUCACGACGAUGGCACCUCUCCUCCCAGGCAUAAGAUAUCUGCCGCCACCCCGAGAUACUCUCGAUAGACUUCUGGGCAUCAGCUUCCCAGCUCGCAUUCACCCCGGCAGGCUGACCUUGAAGAGUUAUCACAAACCUUUGGGCCUCAUCCAGAUUGGCACCGUAUUCGGCACACUCUUUCUGGGAAGCAUCGAGUUUGCCCUUCAGACUCUGGACUUCAGCUCGCAAUGCCUUGUUCUCGACAUUGGCCUUUUGCAGAGCCUCAGCUUUCUUCCUUGCAUUCUCGAGCUUCGUAAUCCACUUGUUAUGGAUCACAUUCAUCUGACAUACAGCAAGGGAAGCAUCAAAAAACCAAGCAAAUGACAGGUAAAAGGAUAAACCAAAUCAUAACUUGGUAAGUAAAACUCACCCUAUACGCGCAAGACGCAAAUUCUUGGGAAUCCUCCACAAGAGAUCGGGGCUGGAUCUUCUUUGCAUCCUCAAAGAGAAAACAGUUCUCCAUCAACGAAAGGCUCAUCUCUUUGUCAUCCCAAGCCGAGUCAUCUGGCUUCACAUAAGCCUCACGGCAAGGGAAUACCGGCGAAAACCGAUUCGCCUCACCGGCAGAAAAAUCUUCAGUCACGUCGAUAGCCGAAGGCUUAGUCGACCUAGAGGAAGGAACUUGUGCUUUUCCUUUCCCCUUAUCCUGAGCUGGUUUAUCGACCCCCGAUGUGGUCACAGGCUCAGAUGCCCUAGCUGGGGCUUUCCUCUUCUUAGACUGAGGAGCAGGAUCGAUUGACCUCGAGCCGAAAAAGUCACUCAGAUUCGGCGCAUUUGGAACCUUACUCGCCAG
rnacentral:lncRNA from 1 species